UUUGACAAUAAGUUUCUAAUUAAAUCAUGGCUGCGCCUGGGCAGCGUUAUUGUGAGAGUGAAAGUGGACGUGCUGCUACUCCCCUCAUUCCCAACAUGUAUCAAGUACCUGCAUUGAGUAAUGCAAGAGUGAGAUGACACAUCUCAGCAAGUAAAAUAAUAUCAAAUUGUUUAACCACAUAAGAACAUUGUUUUACCACCACUUGAUUCCACAACCUUCUUAUUACGAAGGUGCAGCACGUAUACAACGUACAACACACCUAGUCACCACACCUCGCUGGUAGAAACCACAAUAGUAACAUAGUAAUGUCACACUUCAUAUAUACCUCAUGAGUGCAAAUGUCUGCAAAUGCAAGGAUGACUUCUGCCUUCAUACCUCUAAGGAUAUGAAGCCGCAUCGUACCCCUCCUCGGGCAACGUACGAUGCUAAAAAUGUACCGGUACGGUCGGACCAUAAGAUCACGACAUAACUUCAAAAUGCAAGAUGGAUGAUGCGAUGAGCAUGUCAUGCCUACAACACUUCAUAUAACGUGAUUCAAAAAAAUACUUCACUUCAUCCAAGAUGGGAAUCAACCACAUAUAUCAUUACCAAAUUAUGAUCAUCCACAAUAUUAGACAAUUGAGAAUUAAUACUUCCAAACAAAUAAACUUCAUCAUAGAAUUCAAUGAUUAACAUAAUUAAAACUUAUGCAUACUCAAUGUCAGGGAAUAGGAUGCAACCCAAACGGUAGCAACCACCACUGUAUUUACUUGCCUUUACCGGAAGUUCGGGCAAAUCCCUAAGUACAAUCCGGAAGUCCACCACCUUGGGUUCCUCCUUUCCUCCUUCUUUUCUUCCUUCUUCCUCCCUCCAAACUCCCAUGGAAGACUCGCACCCACACGACGGACACCAAGCGGGGAGGCUCCACCUUGGAGAGGAAGAGGUGGGGGGGGCUAGGGUUGAGGGGUGGCGCUGCAAUCACUUGGGGAAGAAGGAGAGGGAUUGGGGCAGCUGCCAGAGUGGAAGAGAGAGGGGAGGGGCGGCCAAAGGGGUGGGGGAGUGAGAGGGAGGGGGUGGCUAGGGUUUAGGGGGGGAAACUAAUGGGCUCCCCACCGCCGGAUCAAGAUCCACGGCCCAAACUCGCUCUCACGUCUGCUCCCGACCCCAACGCACAAAUCCAACAAGUAUUCUACUGUUUUAUUGGUGAAUGCUUCCUAAAAAACUCCAACCCCAACUACACAGAUCAUGAAAGGAAAGGAAAAAAAUACAUUUAACUUCUUUUCAGAAAAUUGGGUAUCACACUCUACCCCCCUUAAAAAGAAUUCGACCUCGAAUUCCGACACUUCUAUCGGAACGACAAGGAAAGAUCAAUGAAUCAACAAAACUCACACAUAAAGAAAGGUUCGGGUACUUCUGCCGCAUCAGCUCCUCAAGCUCCUAGGAUUCUAAGAUACGUAGCAGACGACACUCUAAAGUCUGGUCUUGCUACACAGGAAUCGGCUCUAGCUCGAUUUGAUGGUCUGGAUUCCGCAAAUACUUCCUCAACAUAAAGACAUGGAAUACAUGGUGUACUUCAUUGAACUAGCGGCAUAACCAAAAGUGGUCAUGUAGUCCCAAACAACAAGCAAUAGAUUUAUUCAGGUUCUAUACUCUUCUAAGAUUAAGCGUUCAUCGAAGGACUAAUAACUUUAUGUUCUUCAUUACGAGACACUUAGAGCCAACAUAAGGGUAGAAGCAAUAUGCUUACUUUUUAAAUCAUUUUAAGCCUGAUCUCACAUCAUGCAAGCAAGAAUCAAUUUAAGUAUACUAUGCCUGCCCAUAUAUCCAUCCAAUAACUCAGACAAUCUGCAUCUCCACCUAGACUUCACACGACGUAACUAUUUCAUACUUACGCAAACACGCCAAGACCAGAAAACAUGGCUUCACAACAAUACGUACUGGCCUAUUCAAAUAUCCCUCGCUAUCUCUCUGUUUCAGCCCACGCUCCACAUAUACAAUAACAAGAUAACUAUCACAACCACUACAUCUAUUCCCUCCCACCAUACAACAUAAUUAACAUGGAUUGCGAAAGAGCUCACCAUAACUAAACCAAUCUCCCAAAGAAAUAUCCCUAAAUAGAAAAUUGACAAUCAACAGCACAAAUGCUCAUUCUGUCUCUACCUCUUUCACUAUAAAAACAAUGAUAACAAAGAAAUAUUGUAAAAUCAUCUAAACUUCAUGACCUACAACUUUUGUAUUCAAAGGAUAAACUAAGUUUUUUUAUCUCCAUUUUUUUAAUUUGACUUGUAAGGUGGCAUACAUGAUCUGCCACCAGAACCUGACGGAACAUGACCCAUAAAUUCAAAACCUCAAAACUCUCUGCAUCUAACAAAAUUUUACAAAUAUAAACUCAUUGAAAAGAUUAUAACAUUCCCUAAAACUUUUAUUAUAAUGAGUGUCUCAGAAUUGGUUUCCAAACCGAUAAAACAAUGCAACUGCUUUGUUGCAAAACUGAUAGGUUAGAAACACUGGACAACUAAAAUUCAAAAUACUAUAACUCCUGUUAUACUCAACUUAAAACUACAACGAACACGCGUUGGAAAAGUUUGGAAAUUGUCCACGACUUUUGCAAUAAAGUUCCACCCAAAUUUAUCUUUAUAGCCCUCAACUCUGCAUGACCUACAGCUAAACUCAGCCUGAGAUACUGCACAUCAGAGAUUCGACUUAUAUCCGGACAACCACCUCUCCCAAUCUAUUUAACAGACAAUUACAAGUAAAUACCCAUUAAAAGGUACUAAGAAAAACUAAAAGUUUUUCUUAAAGAGAAUUCCCAAAUUUGGGCUCUGAAACUAUCAAACGCGGUCGAUUUAUUAGUGGUUUUAACGACACCUAAAGUUCAGACACAAUGGUGCAACAACUUCAGAGUAGCCUAACUCCAAUUAUAUGCAAUGAAAAUUACAAACCAAUACUCUUUGGGAAGAUCAUGAACUUACUAAAACUUUCAUAAUCCAACAAAACCCAAAAUUUACCGUAUUCAAUGUCUAUACUUCCGUACAAAAUUAAGGCUGCUAUAGGAAACCCAUAACUCUCAAAUGUUUAGGCCAAACUGGGUGAUUGAGCAUCCUAUGCAAAGAUGAAGAAACCUACUACAAAACAUUCUAGAUAAGUGAAGCCUGAUUCAGCCUCCAACUAAUUUAAAAUGACUCCCAAAACAAAACAUCACCUUACCCAUAAUAAAAAAAACAAUAUAAAAUAAAACCCAAGGCAUUGGCAGGUGCGACCAACAUUAGGAUUUUCCACUACCAAAUGGGGAUGCAACUCCCCAAAGCCUUUAAGCAACACUUUACCUAAUAGGUUAGAACACUAAGCACCACAAUCAACGAAUUCAACAACCUCAUUUGUUAAUGCCACUAAGGUCAAACAUCCAUGUAUCGACAAUGUAUGAAACACCUGACAUACCCGUCUCUAGCACUAUAAAACAUGGUUGUUAUUACACUAGAAUCCAACUAUUAGAGCUCUCCACAACUAUUCUGUUGACGUGAAGCAAAUGGUGCUCAUGUCAUGUAACGUCUUUUCCUCCUCUCAAAAGAGAUAAAUUUUGCAAAACUCAUAAAGCAAUGGAGGGAUAACAAGAAAAACUAAUGUACUUCUUGACACAGACUCAUGCAAAAGCUUCAUAAAUAUUACUUUCAAUACUAAAAUAAUAACACGAUACUAUGCUCAACAUGAGUAAUUGGACGUCAAUAAGACAAUCCACAUAACCGAACUACCUUGAUUAACCUCACAUACAACAAAACCUACUAUUACUGCACUUGAACAAUUUGUACUUCGUGAUAUCACAGGAUGCAUUCAAAGUAGUAGACAUACAUGAUCUAUCAAACCAUCAUUCAUAUAAGAAAAAUCUCAAUCCGAUGCAACAACCUCAUCAUUAAAGAGAUCGAUGACUAACAAACAUAAGCAACUCCCAGUUAAGCAUUGACUUCGUUUAAGAUAAAGCGGUCCAAAUAAUGAUUCAACAAGCAUGCAUAGAGAAACUGCUCAUAAAAAAAAUCAAACUGCCAUACAAUGUUGGCAAAUAAAAAAAAAUAUAAAACGGGUUGUCAAUAUCGCCCACAUGACUAGCCUGCAACAACAAAAUAUGCAUAGCCUUUAUGGCUAUUGAAACAAGCCAUAGAAGGAAAACAUGCACGACGUAAAAUCCACUUGAAACCACCCUAUUUAUUGUUAAAAAUAAGGUUGCACAUAAUAAGAAAACCUAUCAGGUAGACAUGGUUGGACUUAUCAAUCUACGUCAUGUCACAAAUUCACUCGAAUUCUACCAGUCUAAAGAUUUCAUGGACAUUACAACGUUGCAUCUGCUCUAUAGAGACAAACCAAUUUUAUACUAAGAUCAAGUUACCAAGUAGCCACACUAGCCUAAAAUAAGUGAGGCGCAAAGCAUUGCACCCAUGGAAAUAUUACAUUGACAAGUUGGGUUGUAACCCAACAAUCAAUCAAACUCAACAACACCAUAAAACUACAUUAUAUAGUGUUUUCACACUACACCAAGUCGGAUUAGACCCACUAUACACAAGAUCAAUAAACAAUUGGUCCUAUAAGUACAAGAACCCAAGAAUCCUUUUGGGAAAAAACAUCCACAGUCAAGAAUAUAGAAAUAUAUGAUGGUAAUAGCUCAGAGAUUUGAAAACAUUGCAUCCCAAAAAAACAUCAUGACGAUAUGUACAUAAAACAAGUACAUUAGUAGCUUCACUUGCAUAAUAUCUUCAAUAACAACCACAUCAAGAAACCAAUACUAAAUAGAAGUAACAUAUCAUAUCAAGCAUUACGUCGUUAACGACAUACCCCAUCAAACCAUAAAGGGAUUUGGAGUAAGGAAGUUCUAGUCAUCUAUACAAUAAAAUACUAAUAUGAAAGAGAUACGAACCCAUACCCUUCCUAUAUGUGCAAGUGUGUCAAAUUUAUCUUCAAAUUGCGUAGAAUCUAAAGCCUAUCCUCUGAUACCAACUGUAACACCCCGGGGUCCACCAACACCCCGGAAUGCUACUAAACAACACUUCUGACAUCUAUAUAUAAAAUUUCGACAGCAUCCCCCUUGCAAAAUUGCAUAAAUGAGGGGGCAACAGUGUAUAAACAUAUAUCAUGACAAAAACAUACUAAGUAUUAUUAAUCGGCUAGCAAAGAGAAGUUAAACAUACGACAUGAAGUGAAUUAACUAGUGCGCACGACUAGUUAAAAAAACAAACUUCCUUUGACAAUAAGUUUCUAAUUAAAUCAUGGCUGCGCCUGGGCAGCGUUAUUGUGAGAGUGAAAGUGGACGUGCUGCUACUCCCCUCAUUCCCAACAUGUAUCAAGUACCUGCAUUGAGUAAUGCAAGAGUGAGAUGACACAUCUCAGCAAGUAAAAUAAUAUCAAAUUGUUUAACCACAUAAGAACAUUGUUUUACCACCACUUGAUUCCACAACCUUCUUAUUACGAAGGUGCAGCACGUAUACAACGUACAACACACCUAGUCACCACACCUCGCAGGUAGAAACCACAAUAGUAACAUAGUAAUGUCACACUUCAUAUAUACCUCAUGAGUGCAAAUGUCUGCAAAUGCAAGGAUGACUUCUGCCUUCAUACCUCUAAGGAUAUGAAGCCGCAUCGUACCCCUCCUCGGGCAACGUACGAUGCUAAAAAUGUACCGGUACGGUCGGACCAUAAGAUCACGACAUAACUUCAAAAUGCAAGAUGGAUGAUGCGAUGAGCAUGUCAUGCCUACAACACUUCAUAUAACGUGAUUCAAAAAAAUACUUCACUUCAUCCAAGAUGGGAAUCAACCACAUAUAUCAUUACCAAAUUAUGAUCAUCCACAAUAUUAGACAAUUGAGAAUUAAUACUUCCAAACAAAUAAACUUCAUCAUAGAAUUCAAUGAUUAACAUAAUUAAAACUUAUGCAUACUCAAUGUCAGGGAAUAGGAUGCAACCCAAACGGUAGCAACCACCACUGUAUUUACUUGCCUUUACCGGAAGUUCGGGCAAAUCCCUAAGUACAAUCCGGAAGUCCACCACCUUGGGUUCCUCCUUUCCUCCUUCUUUUCUUCCUUCUUCCUCCCUCCAAACUCCCAUGGAAGACUCGCACCCACACGACGGACACCAAGCGGGGAGGCUCCACCUUGGAGAGGAAGAGGUGGGGGGGGCUAGGGUUGAGGGGUGGCGCUGCAAUCACUUGGGGAAGAAGGAGAGGGAUUGGGGCAGCUGCCAGAGUGGAAGAGAGAGGGGAGGGGCGGCCAAAGGGGUGGGGGAGUGAGAGGGAGGGGGCGGCUAGGGUUUAGGGGGGAAACUAAUGGGCUCCCCACCGCCGGAUCAAGAUCCACGGCCCAAACUCGCUCUCACGUCUGCUCCCGACCCCAACGCACAAAUCCAACAAGUAUUCUACUGUUUUAUUGGUGAAUGCUUCCUAAAAAACUCCAACCCCAACUACACAGAUCAUGAAAGGAAAGGAAAAAAAUACAUUUAACUUCUUUUCAGAAAAUUGGGUAUCACACAUUGAAAAUAGAAUGGUCAGGUGAUAUAGCAAUUUUACCAAGUCCUUUGACCAAACCUUGAUUUCCAUCCCCGAAUGUGAUAGAAUCUACAAGAAAAACAUUGGAAAUAGAAUCGUCGGUUCCUUCUCUGUUUUGUUUCUUCUCUCUUCUCUCUCAACACGCCGCCGCUCGCGCGCUGCUCGCCGUCGCUCGCGUCGCCCCUCGCCUCGCCGCACCUCGCCCCGCCGUGCCGCCCCACGCGCCGCCCCCACCACGCCGCACCUUGCCCCGCCGCGCCGCCCCACGCGCCGCCCCCGCAGCACCGCCCAACAGCGCCACCCCCGCCGCGCAGCCCGUCGCGCCGCCCCCGGCCCACCACGUCGCGCCCGACGCACCCGCAGCGCUGCUCGCCCGUGUCGCCGACGUGCCGCCGCCAAGCUCGACGCCCCACCAGCCGACGCCACUGACGCGCCGCCGACUACGCCGCGCUGUGCCCCGUUCCAUCGACCUCGGCUCCCGUCAACCUCGCCUUCAUUAAGGUAUUUUAUUUUGCGUAUUUUAUUUUGUAUUUUCGGCGGCCUUUUAUUUAAUUGCCGCCGAAAUUAAUAUAUUUUUGUAAUUGUGUUUGUUGAUUUGUGCGUUUGAUUAAUAUUAUUGAUUAGUGUGUUUGUAUAUGUGUUAUAUGUUUAGGGAAGGCAUAUGUGGUAUAUGUGGAAUGUAUUAGUGGUAUAUGUGUUUGUUGAUUAGUGCGUGUGAUUAGUAUUAUUGUUUAGUUCGAGGCAUAUUUUAUAUGUGGUAUAUUUGGUUUAGUAAAGGCAUAUGUGGUAUAUGUGUUAUAUGUGGUUCAUUUUUAUAUUGUUUAGUGGUAGCGAGGUUAUGCUGCCAAAAUUAUUGUGGGUCCUGGUAGCUUGCUGUGGUUUAGAAUCUAUCCUUGCCUAUACAUAUAGGACCGAUACACUUGAUGAAAUUGAAUAAUGGUUUCACGAUAUGGUUCGGUUUAACAGUCUCAGGCAUGGCUGAAGACCGUGCAUGGAUGUACAAUGGCUGGAGUAGGAAUGGACGUCAUUCUGAUGAGUGGGUAGCCAAGACCAAAUAUUUUGUGGACCACGUAUUCGCCUUGUCCUUAACCGGCACUGUCAGAUACCCUUGUAGGCGGCACAAAAACAGUAUAUUUCUUAAUAAGGAAAGAGUUAGGGCAUGUUUGUUUACCCUCAGAUUAUAUAAUCUGGAUUAAAUAAUCCUAAGAGGCAAACAAAUAGUCCAGCUUAUUUGCCCAGAUUAUAUAAUCUAACCCCUUGGAUUAUGAUAAUCCAUAAGCAAGUGAGGAGGUGCUUAUUUCAGAUUAUUUUUUUCCCACUUCCCCACUACCCUUUCAAGUUUUCUAGAAAUUACCCACCAUUGCCAUUAUAAUCUACCGAAUCCUGCCGCGAGAAGCCUCCGCCGCCUGGCACAGGAUCCCGCCGCCUGGCACUCCGACGCGUCCCGCGCGCAGCAGAUUCCCACCCGGCACACAAUCCCGCCGCCAGAAGCCUCCGCGCGGUCGACGAGGACGCGUCCCGCGCCCGACACAGGAUCCCGUCGCGCCGUCGUCGCACGGCACAGGAUUCCGCCGCUAGAAGCCUCCGCGCCGUCGUCGUGGUGAUAGAUCCUCCGUCGGAACCAGCAGACAUUCAACUUAGUACAAAUAUAGAUGGCAUUCUUGUCUUCCUCAUACAAAAGAAUCCUAUUAACAACUCAAAUAAUCUGGGUAAACAAACAGUACUACUCAGAUUAUAUAAUCCAGAUUAUAUAAUCCAGAUUAUAUAAUCCUCCAAAAAUAAUCCAGAUUAUAUAAUCCAUGGGGUAAACAAACAGGCUCUUAGCCUAGAUCUUUGUCAGUUUGGAUUUAUGCCCGGAUAUGAGGUGUGGGAACAUCAUGGUGAGGUAGUACCCAACCGGAAUGUAGAAGAGGAGGAGAACAAUGAUUGGGCUGGCGAUGAUGCGAUGCAUGAGAUGCUAGAUUCGCUACGUCUAUAAUUCAACCUAAGCUCCGAGGAUCCUGCCACACCAGAGGUUUCCAGAUUUUUUAAACUACUAAAAGACUCUGAAGAGCCGUUGCAUGAACACACAGAUGUGAGUAUACUCGCUUUUGUGACUCGGCUCAUGGCCAUUAAGUCCAAGUACUUUUUCUUGAACAAUUGUAACAAUGAGAUUUUAAAGUUAUUAGGAGAUGUGCUCCCAAAGCCCAAUAAGUUGCCUAAAGACAUGUACCAAUCAAAGACAAUUAUCAAAGGUCUCGGUAUGGAUUAUGAGAAGAUUGAUGUGUGCAAAAAUAAUUGUAUGCUUUUCAUGAAGGAGCAUGCGGUACCCAAGUGGAUGAGGAUGGCGAUGUUAGUCUUGAUGGGCAAGUGGUACCCAAGAAAGACACUUUUCGUUACUUAGGAUCAAUGCUUCAAAAGGAGGGAGACAUCGAUGAGGAUGUCAGUCAUAGAAUUAAAGCCGGAUGGUUGAAGUGGCGACAAGCUGCGGGUGUCUUAUGCGACCACCGGGUGCCACGCAAACUAAAAGGCAAAUUCUACAGGACAGCAAUCCGGCCGGCUAUGUUGUAUGGAGCAGAAUGUUGGCCCACUAAAAGACGACAUGUCCAACAACUAAGUGUGGCAGAGAUGCGUAUGUUGCGCUGGAUAUGUGGCCACACAAGGAGAGAUCGAGUCCGGAAUGAUGAUAUACGAGAGAGAGUAGGAGUGGCGCCAAUUGAGGAGAAGCUUAUGCAACAUCGCUUGAGAUGGUUUGGACAUAUCCAACGAAGACCUGAAGAGGCACCAGUGCAUAUCGGAAUAAUUAGGCGUCCCGAAAAUGUGAAGAGAGGUAGAGGCCGACCAACUUUGACGUGGACAGAGGCUGUGAAGAGAGACCUGAAGGAGUGGAAUAUUGAUAAAGAGCUCGCCGCAGAUAGGAAGGGGUGGAAGUGUGCAAUUCACGUGCCAGAACCCUGAUUGAUAGUUUCGCUUUUCCUCCUUAAUCGUUUGACCUUUUCUUGUGUCCAUUUUAGAUCUUGCUGGUCCUUGUGGGUUUUAUCUCUUUUAUGUGUUUCCCCGUUUCGUUGUUUUCGGUUCUCCUUUGCCUUUGUUUCCCUUUUCUGUUCUUUGGGGGUUGAGCUCUGAGGUUUUCAUACGGGGUUUCAUCUCUAGCCUACCCCAACGUGCUUGGGACAAAAAGGCUUUGUUGUUGUUGUUGUUGUUGUUGCAUGAAGGAGCAUGCGGAAGAGAAAAAUGUCUAAAAUGUGGACAAUCUAGAUUUGUGGAAGUUGUUAAUGAUGAGGGUGAGAAAGUGAUGACAGAUGUUGCACAUAAGCAGCUCCGCUACUUGCCACUAACUCCUCGAGUGAAACGGAUGUUUCUAUCUAAAAAACCGCUAUGCACAUGCGAUGGCACAAAGAAGGUGUCCGUGAUAACGAUGACCUAAUCGUGCACCCUUCAGAUGGGGAUGCAUGGAAGGCUCUCGACACGUUUGAUCCCGACUUUGCAACUGAUCCGAGGAAUGUUCGAAUCGGCCUCGCGACCGAUGGCUUCACACCUUUUGGUCAAAUGGCAUCAUCAUACUCAUGUUGGCCCGUCUUUGUUAUUCCAUACAACCUUCCACCUUCUCUUUGUAUGAAAUAUGAAUUUAUAUUUCUUUGCUUAAUCAUUCCUGGCCCAGACUAUCCUGGAAAGAACCUCAAUGUCAUGUUAAAACCCUUGAUUGAAGAGUUGAAGGAGCUUUGGAAAGGUGUUGAAGCAUACGAUGUUUUUACAAAACAGAUAUUCAAACUUCAAGUUGCGUAGUUGUGGUCGGUGCAUGACUUCAUGGUGUAUGCUAUUUUUAUCGGUUGGAGUACACAUGGUAGAUUGACAUGUCCAUAUUGCGGUUCAGAUACAGAUUGCUUCAGUCUUGCUCAUGGUGGAAAGAUCACUUACUUCGAUUGUCAUCGACGCUGGUUGCCCAAGAAACACCCCUUUAGGAGCGAUAAGAAAAACUUUAUAAAGAACACUGUGGUCACCAAAGGUCCGCCUAAACGUCUUAACGCGGCAGAAAUAUAUGCUCAGCUGAACAACCUUGUCCUAAAUGAAAAGGGGGACAAGUACGAAGGAUUCGGAGUGGACCACAAUUGGACACAUAUAUGUGGUCUCUGGGAGCUCCCUUAUAUGUCGUCAUUGAUUCUUGUGCACAACAUUGAUGUCAUGCACCAAGAAAGUAAUGUUGCUGAAGCCCUCAUAAACACCUGCAUGCAUUUUGAAAAAACAAAGGACAAUCUGAAAGCUCGAAGAGAUCUAGCAAUGCUUUGUGACCGACCAACCCAAGUGCUCAAUGACAACGGUAAGCCGCCACGUGCCUUGUUUUGUCUUACCUCUAAAGAUAAGAUCGAGGUAAUGAGAUGGAUGAAAAAAAUUAAAUUUCCCGAUGGUUAUGCUGCGGGCUUGAAAAGAGCUGUGAAUUUGAAAACGGGAAAACUAACUGGGUUAAAGAGCCAUGACUUCCAUAUAUUAAUGGAGAGGAUUAUCUCUAUCAUGUUUCAUGGUUAUAUGCCCGACGCCAUGUGGCAAGCAAUAGCUGAGCUAAGUUAUUUCUACAGGCAGAUCUAUGCCAAAGAAAUAAGUAAAAAUAUGAUGGAGAAGUUGGAGAAACAAAUACCAGUGUUGUUAUGCAAGCUAGAAAAAAUAUUCCCACCUGGAUUCUUCAAUCCGAUGGAGCAUCUACUUAUUCACAUUCCAUAUGAGGCAAAGGUUGGUGGACCUGUACAAUAUAGGUGGAUGUAUCACAUUAAACGUGCACUCAAAAACCUGCGAGGCAUGGUUCGAAAUAAGGCUAGAGUAGAAGGAUGCAUCGCUGAAGCUUUUUUGCUAAAGGAGGUUUCAUACUUCACGAGUGUGUAUUUCGCAGAGGAACAUAAUGUCUAUGCUGCUACCAUGCGAUACAAUUUCGAUGAGGAACCUCCUGUCAGUGAUCUCAACAUUUUCCAAUGGAGAGGCACAAGUACUAGUAAGGGCACGUUCUACCACCUUAGCAUGGAUGAAAGAAUGUCCGCAUUGCUAUACAUGUACUCUAAUAUGGAAGAGAUGGAGCCAUAUUUCAUGUAAGUCUUUAUUUUACCCCUUAAUUUCUUUACCAAAGGAGCCAUAUUUAAAAACUUAUUUGUCGUACAGUAAGUUCAACGAGGAAAAUUGGACUUAUUCCCAUCAGCCUACAAGCAAACAACUAGAUACUAUGCGACGACAUGGGAGGCAAGGAAGACCUAAUUUUGUUGACUGGUUUCGCGAGCAUGUAAACUCUUUAUAUUCCUUACUUUCAUGUCAUUUAGCCUUUUACGCGAGGUAGUCAUUUUAACUGUAUAUUAUUUGCAGUGCACAAAGACUCCUAACAUACACGAGGACUUGAGACAGCUAUCUUAUGGGACGGUCACUUGCAGAACAUUUGGUCGAUACGAUGUGAAUGGCUUUCAUUUUCAUUCAGACCAAUUUGAAAAGUCUCGUCCUCAUGCAUCCACACGUAACACUGGAGUUCUGACUAGGGCACUCGAUGCACUCGGCAGAGAAACUAAUUAUUAUGGCAUCAUUCAAAACAUCCUAGAGUUUAAUUUUGCAGGGAACAAACCUUUGAAAUUAGUAUUCUUUCUAUGUGAUUGGUUUGACAGCACUAAUGGGAUUAGAUAAAGUCAGUAUGGUAUAACUGAAGUAAAGCACAAGGAACGACUUCGAGGCCAUGAUAAUUUUAUCCUUGCACACUAGUGCGAGCAGGUCUACUAUAUGUCGUACCCAAAUCCGAAGUUUGAAGCAUGGUGGGUAGUUCAUAAGGUGAACCCUAAGGAACGUUUACAUACUCCUUGCACUGCUGGUUAUCAAUUCAAAGACGAACAUGCCGAUGAUGUUUAUCAAGAAGAAGAAUUGCCAACUACUUUUACUAUCGAUGAGGGUGUUGCACUGAACUCACUAGUCGGAGACCGUAACGAUGUCACUACUGAUGAGUGUGUUGCACCGAAACGAAAACGAAAUCCAAGGAACAAAAAAGCCACAUUGCGAGCUUUGGAUCGAAGAAGACUCCUUGAUCAUGAUUCUGAUGAAUUUUGAUGUGUAAUGCAAAAUUUCAUAUUAUGUGAUGUAUUAUUUGAUUUUUUAUUAGUUCACUUAAUUUUAUGGAGCUAAUACAUUUAGUGUUUUUCUAUUGAACAGGAUGAGUGGUAGGAAACCAAAGCACACUGCUAGGGGGUUUCUUAAUGCGGCUAGCAGGAUACUCCCUGGUGCACGUUCCCUUUUCCAAGGGAGUUCUUCUAGCCAGAGCAGACAGGAGGCGUUGCUGAGACACGCUCGGCCAGAACUACGUGAUACACCUAUCGCUCUACAACGGAGUACCGAUGUAAAUGUUUAUGUAAUUUAUCUUAUUUGUUAGUCACUUAUGUAAUUGAUCUUAUGUAAAUGUUUAUGUAAACUUUUUACGUGUCUCUAUUUCAUGUCCAUAGGAAGAGGAGGACGACGAGGAGGAGGUGCAACACCAUGAGGAGGAGGACGAGCAGGCCCAUGAGGAGGAGGAGGUGCAGGCCCAUGAGGAGGAGGACGAGGUGGGCAUAGAUGCUGAGGCGGAUGACAAUACCACCGAGGCUCCUGUCGUUCGACGAAGGGGCACUCGGAAGGGCCACUUUGUCCUACCUCCGUCAGCGCCUGCACAAUCUGAAGCUCGAGUACUGAUCAUCCCGGUUGGUGAUAGGUACUCACGUUUGGCCACUUUGUUCUUACUUAUUUGUUUAUUUUACACUAUAUAUAUGACAUGACUUUCUUGUUUUUUUGUCAUGCAGCCAAUGGGAAGACACGUCAUUUGACGGUCGAGGUCACCAUAGAUAGGUUAAUCAAGUCUUAGGUAACCUCUGUCGUCUACAUAACCCAGGAAUUGUCACCGACCCAAAAGGUGUGGUGGUUCCUUGCACUAGCUAGUCGCACUUCGCACUAGCUCCACAUGCUACAUAUGGAACAGCUCAAGGCGUCGUUAAGCACGACUUUUGGGUAAUUUUUUCAAACUAACAUUUAUUAGUUGUUUCAACCUAACAUUUAUUAGUUGUUUUUGAACUAAUUUAAUUUUCAAUGUUGGACAGAGACGCUAUCGUGUGGAACCUGAGGCUCAAGAGCAUGCAGACCGAGUAUUAGAGAAAAAUGCGAAGAAGGUGUGCAGGGAUACAUUUUCCAAUGCUCGUCUACAGGUUGUGAACGCGUACAUGAAGCGCCGAGGUCAUUCUAUCAACAACUUUCGACAAUAUUCAGAUGUCUACUUGACUGUAGACCAGUACAUGGAGGUAAAAAUCUAAUUUAACAGCUCAUUCAGAUGUGAAUGUAAUUUUGAGCUAACGCUUUAUAUGCAGGUAACUCUUCCAUGGAUGGAACACCGGCCGCAGGCUUACAAGGCUUUGUGUGAGAUAUGGGCUUCGCCUGAGUGGAUUGAGAAGUCAAACAGAAAUCGACAUAGGCAGCGCCAUCAGCAGGACGAUGACGAUGAUGAGGUCGUAGUCAACCAUACCUAUGGGGCUGAUGGACACAUUCGGUUGGCUAAGCGAAUGGUGAGUAUGUAGUAUUCUGUUUUACUCAGAAAUGAAACAGGGUUGAACUCAUAUAUUUGCAGGAGGCUCAAACUAGAGUUGUCCCGAGCCCAAUCGAUGUUUAUAGGAGAGGGCAUCGAGCGAAAAACAGUGAAAUCUCCGAUGAGCUGUGUAGUCAAGUGGCCGUUGAGCGUAUGGUUAGUUGUUGUUAUGAUUAAUGUUUUCUUGUCAUAUAGCUAUAAAUUACAUGUGUGCUGAACCUUCAUAUUGUAUUGCAGGAGACAUACGGGCAGGAGAUGGUUAAGAAGUAUGGAGAAGACUAUGAUUGGCGAGGAGCGCCUACCAUCCACGCUGAAGUUGUGCAUUCACUUGGAGGCAAGGUGCAUGGACGGUAUGAACUUAUGAAUUUUUUUCAAUAAUAUUGGAACUACGACCGAAUAGCUAAUUUUCUUGUUUUUCAAGAUAUUCUAUGUUUACCGGUGUUAUCGAUUCGACGGAGUUGCGUUCUCGUGGCGGCUCUUCGUCGCAGGCGGGCUGUGGUAGUAGUCGCCGUAGUCGCCGCUCUGUAUCUAGCAUGGAGGAAGCUAUGAGGGAGUAGCAAGAAAAGUUUUGUGAAGAGGUGCGGCAACAACAAAUGGCAUUUCUCCAACAGCAAUCAGAGUACAUGGCUGCUUACAACGCACAGGCACAACAAGCAAUGAACGUGAGUGUCUUAUUUAUUCUCAACACACUCGAUAUUGGUUCUAUAACUAAUAUAUUAUAUUUGCAACAGUCUUGGUUUCCACAGUAGGCAUAGCAGCAACCAUUUGUUUUCCCUCAGUUUUAGCCGCCGAUGCCUCAGUGGGGAUUACAUGCUCCACCACCUCCACCUCCACCUCAGGUGCUUCAAUUUAGUUAAGACUUGUCGUUUGUAUCAACCUAAUUUCAAAUCUUUACUAAACUUGAUUUUGUAGGGAUCCGGUGUCAUGGGCCACAACACGCCACCACCGGUCAUACCAGCACCAGGAGGAGCUUAUGCAGGGGAGGGAGCUUAUGCAGGAGAGGUUAGUUUGAGAAAUAAUUUGUUUGAAUAGUCGUUAUACAUGUAACCAAUGUCGUUAUUAAUGUCUUCUUUUUUCUUUAGGAUCCAAACCCGUCACACGACUUCGUCAACCAGUUCUUGGCUUCUGGAGGUAGUGGACACAACUCCAACGACCCCGAUAUGUGAUUAAGUUAGCUUUGUGCCGCAUUGUGCGUUGUAAUGGACUAUUUGUGGAUUUUAUGUUUGUAUGGACUAUUUGUGGACUUUAUAUUUGUAUGGACUCAAGUUUUAUGUUGUGAACUCAAGUAUGAAUUUUCUGUUAUUGUAUGAAUUUUGUACAAAUUUUCUGUUAUUUUUUGCAUUUUUUCAAUUUUUUUGCUCUGAAAUUAUUAAUUUUCGGCGGCCUCCCUGGCCGCCGAAAAUAGGAAUACUAUUUUCGACGGUUUUAAUUUUCGGCGGCUAACUACGUGGCCGCCGGAAAUUAUCAGUUAUUUUCGGCGGCUAGGGAACCAGCCGCCGAAAAUAGCUUAUUUUCGUCGGCCAGGCCCUGGCCGCCGAAAAUAGAGCCUUAUUUUCGGCCGGUUUUUUUUUUGGCGGCUAGAAGACACCGAAAAUAGCUUAUUUUCGGCGGCUUCUGGACGCCGAAAAUGCCUGUAGCUCUUGUAGUGUUUGGGGAUCUUGGUUUUUCUCAUAGGAGGAGAACAUCCUUUUCUCCCCAGUCAUGUGGUUUGUGCACCCGCUAUCAAUGAUCCAACUUGAGCCCCCGGAUGUAUAAACCUUCAAAACAAAUUUAUGUCUUGUUCUUAGGUACCCAAACGGUCUUGGGUCCUUUUACAUUAGAAACAAGCACCUUGGGUACCCAAACACAGGUAUUGGAGCCCUUGUGUUUGCCCACAACAUAUUUGGCAACUACUUUGCCUGAUUUGUUAGUAAGCACAUAUGAAGCAUCAAAGGUCUUGAAUGAAAUGUUAUGAUCAUUUGAUGCAAUAGGAUAUUUCUUUUUAGGCAUUUUAACAUGUGUAGAACGCCUAGAGCUAGAAGCCUCAUUCUUAUAAAUAAAAGCAUGGUGAGAAACAGAAUGAGUCUUCUUAGCAUGAAUUCUCCUAAUCUUAUCCUCAGGAUAACCACCAGGAUAUAAAAUAUAGCCCUCGUUAUCCUGAGGCAUGGGAGCUUUGCCCUUAACAAAAUUAGACAAUCUUUUAGGAGAGGCAUUAAGCUUGACAUUGUCUCCCUGUUGGAAGCCAAUGCCAUCCUUAAUGUCAGGGCGUCUCCCACUAUAGAGCAUGCUUCUAGCAAAUUUAAUUUUUUCAUUUUCCAAGUCAUGCUCAUUGAUUUUAGCAGUUAAUGUAGCUAUGUGAUCAUUUUGUUGUUUAAUUAAGGCAAGGUGAUCAUGAAUAGCAUCUACAUUAACAUCUCUACAUCUAGUGCAAAUAGAAACAUGAUCAACCGUAGAUGUAGAGAGUUUGCAAUCAUUUAAUUCAACAAUCUUAGCAUGUACAAUAGCAUUCUCAUCUCUAAGAUUGGUAAUAGCAUCAUUGCAAACAUUUAAAUCUUUAGCCUUUGCAAUUAAUUUUUCAUUCUCAAUCCUAAGGCUAGCAAGAGAUUCAUUCAACAUGUCAAUCUUAGCAAUUAGACUAGCAUUAACAUUUCUAAGAUUAACAAUUGAAUCAUCAAAAACAUUUGAUUUCUCAACCUUAGCAAUUAAUUUGUCAUUUUCAUUUCUAAGGCUAGAAAUAGUGUCAUGGCAAGUGCUAAGCUCACUAGUCAAUUUUUCAUUUUUCUCUAACUCCUGAGCAUAAACAUUUUUAACCUUAACAUGCUUUUUGUUUUCCUUAAUAAGGAAGUCCUCUUGGCUAUCCAAGAGUUCAUCCUUCUCAUGAAUAGAACUAAUCAAUUCAUUCAAUUUCUCCUUUUGUUGCAUGUUAAGAUUGGCAAAAAGAGUAAGCAAAUUAUCCUCAUCAUCACUAGAAUUACCCUCAUCACUAGAAGUUGCAUACUUAGUGGAGGAUCUAGAUUUUACCUUCUUCUUCUUGCCGUCCUUUGCCAUGAGGCACUUGUGGCCGACGUUGGGGAAGAGAAGACCCUUGUUGACGGCGAUGUUUGCAGCGUCCUCGUCGUCGGAGGAGUCGAUGGAGCUCUCAUCGGAGUCCCACUUCCGGUAAACAUGGGCAUCGCCGCCCUUCUUCUUGUAGUAUCUCUUCUUCUCCUUCUUCUUCCCCCUCUUGUCGUCGCCUCUAUCACUGUCACUAGAAAUAGGACAUUUUGCUAUAAAGUGACCGGGCUUACCACACUUGUAGCAAAUUUUCUUGGAGCGAGGCUUGUAGUCUUUCCCCUCCUUUGCUUGAGGAUUUGGUGGAAGCUCUUGAUGAUGAGCGCCAUUUCCUCGUUGUCAAGCUUGGAAGCAUCGAUGGGGACCCUACUUGGUGUAGAGUCUUCUUUCUUUUCCUCUGUUGCCUUGAAUGCGACGGGUUGUGCCUCGGGUAUGGAGGAGGCGCCUUGCUUGAUGAUCUUCUUGGAGCCUUUGAUCAUCAAUUCAAAGCUCACAAAUUUUCCUAUCACUUCCUCAGGAGACAUUAGUUUGUAUCUAGGAUCACCACGAAUUAAUUGUACUUGAGUAGGAUUAAGAAAAACUAGUGAUCUUAGAAUAACCUUGACCAUUUCGUGGUCAUCCCAUUUGGUGCUCCCGAGGUUGCGCACUUGGUUCACCAAGGUCUUUAGCCGGUUGUACAUGGCUUGCGGAUCCUCUCCUUGGUUGAGCAUGAAACGACCGAGCUCCCCCUCGAUCGUCUCCCUCUUGGUGAUCUUGGUCACCUCAUCUCCUUCGUGCGCAGUUUUGAGCACGUCCUAAAUCUCCUUGGCGCUCUUCAACCCUUGCACCUUGUUAUACUCCUCUCGACUUAGAGAGGCGAGGAGUAUAGUGGUAGCUUGGGAGUUGAAGUGCCGGAUUUGAGCAACUUCGUCUGAAUCAUAAUCUUCAUCCCCUGGCGAUGGUACAUGUACUCCAAUCUCAACAACAUCCCAAAUGCUAGUGUGGAGUGAGGUUAGAUGAUGCCUCAUUUUGUCACUCCACAUAUUAUAAUCUUCACCAUCAAAAACGGGUGGUUUGCCUAAUGGGACAGAAAGUAAAGGAGUACGUUUGGAAAUGCGAGGAUAGCGAAGGGGAAUCUUACUAAAUUUCUUGCGCUCAUGGCGCUUAGAAGUGACGGACGGCGCGUCGGAGCCGGAGGUGGAUGGCGACGAAGAAUCGGUCUCGUAGUAGACCACCUUCUUCAUUUUCUUUUUCUUGUCGCCACUCCGAUGCGACUUGUGAGGAGGUGAUUCCUCCUUCUUCUUGUUGCGGGACUCUCCCGAUGGAGCCUUCUCGUGGCUUGUAGCAGGCUUCUCGCCGAUCACCAUCUUCUUCUUGGCGUGAUCUCCCGACAUCACUUCGAGCGGUUAGGCUCUAAUGAAGUACCGGGCUCUGAUACCAAUUGAAAGUCGCCUAGAGGGGGGUGAAUAGGUGGAAUCUGAAAUUUAUAAACUUUAAGCACAACUACAAGCCGGGGUUAGUGUUAGAAAUAAACUCGAGUCCAAAAGAGAGGGCAAAACAAAUCACAAGCAAAUGAAGAGUGUGACACGGUGAUUUAUUUUACCGAGGUUCGGUUCUUACAAACCUACUCCCCGUUGAGGUGGUCACAAAGACUGGGUCUCUUUCAACCCUUUCCCUCUCUCAAACGGUCACCUAGACCGAGUGAGCUUUUCUCUUCAAUCAAAUGGGACACUAAGUCCACUACAAGGACCACCACAACUUGGUGUCUCUUGCUUUGAUUACAAUGAUCUUGAGAACAAGAAAGGAGGAAGAAGAAAAGCGAUCCAAGCACAAGAGCUCAAAAGAACAUGGCAAAACUCUCUCUUUUAGUCACUAUUGCUUUGAGUGGAAUUGAGACUUGGAGAGAUUUUGAUUUACUCUAAUUGUGUCUUGAAUUGAAUGCUAUAGCUCUUGUAUUAAAUGUGUUGGCUGAAAACUUGGAUGCCUUGAAGCGUUGGUGGUUGGGGGGUGUUUAUAGCCCCAACCACCAAAGUGGCCGUUGGGGAUGGCUGCUGUCGUAUGGCGCACCGGACAGUCCGGUGCACCACCGGAAACUGUCCGAUGCACCAGCCACGUCACCCAACCGUUAGGGUUAGACCAUUGGAGCUCUGACUUGUGGGGCUACCGGACAGUCCGGUGGUGCACCGGACAGGUCCUGUUCACUGUCUGGUGUGCCUUCUGUGCCUGCUCUGACUUCUGCGUGCGCAGUCCACGCACUGUAGCUCAAUGUUCACCUUUUGCAAACGACCGUUGGCGCUGAUAGCCGUUGCUCUGUUGGCACACCGGACAGUCCGGUGUUACACCGGACAGUCCGAUGAAUUAUAGCGGAGUGGCUCCCCAAAUUCCUAAAGCUCAGCAGUUUAGAGUUGAUCCACCCUGGUGCACCGGAUACUAUCUGGUGGCACACCGGACAGUCCGGUGCGCCAGACUAGGGUAGCCUUCGGUUGUCUUUUGCUCUUUUUAUUUGAACCCUUUCUUGAACUUUUUAUUGGCUUGUGUUGACCCUUUGGCACCUGUAGAACUCACAAUCUAGAGCAAACUAGUUAGUCCAAUAAUUUGUGUUGGGCAAUUCAACCACCAAAAUCAUUUAGGAAAAGGUUUGACCCUAUUUCCCUUUCACUACUAAAGCUAAUUCAUUACCUUAUGGUGGUACAUCCUAAGAUGUCCAUUUAUAAUAUCUCAAUCAAUCAAAGAAGCAAAUCAGGCAUUUAUCACCAGAACAAUCAACCAACUGUAACGCCCCGAAUUUUGCAGUUGAAUUUUUUCUUUUCUUUACUCGCCAAAAUUCGGGCGUUACCUUUUCUUUUUCUUUUUCCCCUCGCUAAACCUUGACCUUUUCCAAAGUUUUAGCGGGAUUCGGUUUGGAAUUCCCGUGUAAUGAAAAACCCUAAAUACUUUAUGUUGUUUGAUGCACCAUGCCGAACUAUGCAUUCUUUGAUUGUUUGAAAGUGCAAAUGCAUUCAUGUAGAAAGAUCGGAUUUCGAAAAUGAGGAGAAGAUCUUUUCUUUCUUUUUCUCUCUCUUUCUCUCUCCUCUUUUUCUUUCUUUCUCUCUCCCGCGCCGUGGGCCGACCCCGGCCGGCCCAGCCGCCCCUGGCGCCCCCUCUUGGGCCUUGGCAGGCCCAGCCGCCCCCCCCCAUCCCCCCUUUUUUCCCCAAACCCUCUCCCUCUCCCUCUCAUUUUCCCUCUCUCUCUCCCUAGCGCCGCCCCUACCCCCUGCCCAACCGCCGCCCUGCCCUAGCGCUCGGCCGCCGCUCCCCGCCGUCGGCCGCCCCGCCGGUGAGCCCCCCCCCUCCUCCCUCUCUCCCUCCUCCCUCCCUCUCCCCUCUCCCCUCCUCUCUCCUCGGCAGCCCGCGCCCGGCCGCGCCGUGGCCGCUGGCCGCCCUGGCCGCGCCCCCAGCCGGCCGCUGCCGCGCCGCCCUGGCCCCCGGCCAGCCCCAGCCGGCCCCGACCCGCCCCUUGGCCAACCCCGGCCGCCCCCCGGCCCGCGUCCCGGCCGCGCGCCCGGCCGUGCGCCUGGCCGACUCGGCCGCCUGCCAGCCCGACCCCCCCCCCCCCGCGCGCCCGCCUGGCCGGCCGGUUCAACCGGGCCAGCUCGGCCGCCCCAGCCCCCAGCUCGGCCGCCCAGCCUAGGGCCGGUUCAACCGCCCUAGGGCCGGUUCAACCGCCCCCCCUGUUUUUUUUUAUUUUAUUUUAUUUUAUUUACUUUCUGUGAUCAUAGCUAUUUUAUUUUAGGUAGGCUAAUCAUUGUUCAUGUUAUUGAAAUAGGAAGUUUAAUUUAAAAUUCCGUUAAUGCUAGUUGAUUCAUGUGAUUAACUGUUUAUCUCGUUCAAUGUUGAUCAACUUAAAAUGACUAAGUUUCCAUUAGUGUAUAUAACAGAAUUCUUUGUCAAGAACCAGUUGUAACUAAUCAUUAGGGCAUAAAACUUUAACCCCCUGCGAGACCCUUUCCCCGUUUCUUUCUAACCAUAAUGAAUGCGAUAUGGAAUGUCAUACUUGAUGCAUAUUCGCUUUACUUGUUCCCUUGUAUGGUGUACUGUUCUUUUGUAUUAAAUAUGUGGAUGUAUGUAUGUUUGCGCUCGCAUAGAGAACGAUCCGGUCGAAGAGCCCGAGGAACUCGCAGGAGAAGCCCCUGAGCAGCAGUCGGUUGGUGGAGGCAAGUGUCCUUUGACCUAUCUCUGUCCUAAUCAUUCUUUAAUUCACCUCCCGCAUCACACAUUUAUACCUAAGGAUUGACUAGCUUUUUGUUAUCCAUGUCCUUGUUUACCUAUUUGGGUCGGAUUAUUACUGCUUAGUUUGAUGCUAUUGCUCAACUUUAAUCAAUGAACAUGAUGUGGUUAUCUAUGAUACGCUGUUUUCCCGUUCUUAUUUAUGAUUAUACUUGUGGCAUUUAAGGGGACUCGAGCGGUUUCUCGAGUGCCUCUCCGUAAGGACCUGUUCAAUGGAUGACCGCCCGGGAAAACAGUGCAACCAUGAGGGUGGAAUGGGGUGCCCUUAGCUGAAUAAUUAGAGGAUCCGGGGUGUAGUUCGCUUCGCCGUCGUGCCGUCAAUGGGGCUCGGUGUAUGCGGCUCGCUCUGCCAAGGUUGAUUUGUCCCUUGGGGAGGAGUGCGGUACAUUUAGGAAACCUAACGGGUGGCUACAGCCCCGGGGAAUCUUUGUAAAGGCUUCGUAGUGAAUCCUUGGCCAUUCACCUCGGGAGUGAAUAAGGGUCUUGCAAGCCCGGGCCAGAGAGGGAAUCACGGCUUGUGGGUAAAGUGCACAACCUCUGCAGAGUGUUAUGAAACUGAUAUAUCAGCCGUGCUCGCGGUUAUGAGCGGCCAAGGGAGCUCCAGAGAUUAGUGAUACUUGAUCAGAGAUACUUUGGUACAGGUGACAAUGAGAUUGAUGGUUCUGAUUACGAUUAUGGUAUUGGUAAGUGGUAUUCUUUCCGUUUGGAAAGGAUACAUUGGGCUAAUAACUUGGGUUAAUGUUAAAACCUGGCUUUCUACUAGUAAGUAAUAACCUGACCAACUAAAAGCAACUGCUUGACUUAUCCCCACAUAAAGCUAGUCCACUACAGCCAAACAGGAUACUUGCUGAGUAUGUUGAUGUGUACUCACCCUUGCUCUACACACCAAACCCCCCCCCAGGUUGUCAGCAUUGCAACCACUGCUUAGGCGAAGAUGAAGCUGUGGAAGGAGACUUCCAGGAGUUCCAAGACUACGACGAGUUCUAGGUGUGGGUUAGCGGCAACCCCCCAGUCGGCUGCCUGUGAAGGCCGCGUUAUCUACGUUUCUUUUCCGCACUUUGAUUUAUUGUAAGAACUAUAUGGACGUCUCAGACGUAUGAUGUAAUCGACUAUUUCCCUUAUUAAUACUAUUUUGAGCACUAUGUGAUGAUGUCCAUAUUAUGUAACUGCUGUGUACGUGAAUAACUGAUCCUGGCACGUACAUGGUUCGCAUUCGGUUUGCCUUCUAAAACCGGGUGUGACACCAACAUAGAGAAAAUAGUUUUAAUUUCGUCUUAGGUUCCCUAUCUCUUAAGAAUGUUGUAAAUGUAGGAUUCCAAGGUGUGAAACCCAUAUUGUCUUAGAGUGGAAAAGAUAAGAGUAAUCAGAGUAUGACAACAAAAGGUGAGACAUGAUCAAGGUAAGAUAAGUAUAGAAUGAAUUAGAGUAAGGUAAGUAGGUAAGGGUUUUGUCCAUUUCUAUCUAGGUUUCGUCCUACAGUCAACAUUUCCUCUGAUACCACUUCUGUCACACCCGGAUUUAAGGAACAAAGCCGAGUGCAUCUCAUACAUGCACCAAAGAAGACAACAUAUAUAAUAACAGAGUGUAUAGAGAUAAAUGUCACAAUAACAUCAGAGUACUUAUUACAUAGUGGAAGUCUUACAAAAAUAAAAGUAAAUAUAAAACAAACUAAAUCCAUCCUUGGUGCUAAUAAGUCAACUAGGAGACGCCACCUAGAUCAUAUCAAACUCCUCAUUGUGUGGCUCCUCCUGAACCACCUGUUCUUCUCCUGUGGGGGGUGUGAGACAGCAAGGGUGAGCUUGAGAGCACCUAGAGGGGGGUGAAUAGGUGAUCCUGUGAAACUUAAACUUAUAGCCACAAAAACUUGUUAAGUGUUAGCACAAUAAUCGCCAAGUGGCUAGAAAGGAGUCUCAGCAAAACACAAUACCACAAGAGAUCAAACACAGAGAUGACACAGUGGUUUAUCCCGUGGUUCGGCCAAGACCAACGCUUGCCUACUCCACUUUGUGGCGUCCCAAUGGACGAGUGUUGCAAUCAACCCCUCUCAAGCGGUCCAAAGACCAACUUGAAUACCACGGUGUUUUGCUUUGCCUUUCAAUAUCCCGUUUGCGAGGAAUCUCCACAACUUGGAGCCUCUCGCCCUUACACUUAAGAUUCACAAAGAAAUACGGAGUAAGGGAGAAACUAGCAACGCACACAAGACUCAAAAUCAGAGCAACAGCACGCACACAAGUCGCAACAAGAGCAAGCAACACAACUCAAUAAGUCCACAACUCAACAAGAGCUCUAGAUGCUAUCACAAUGAACCAAAUGCGUGGAAUCGAUGUCUUGGUGCUUAGGAAUGUUGUAGGAAUGCUUGAUGUGCUCCUCCAUGCGCCUAGGGGUCCCUUUUAUAGCCCCAAGGCAGCUAGGAGCCGUUGAGAGCAGUUCUGGAAGGCUGAUCUUGCCUUCUGUCAGCUGGCGCACCGGACAUGUCCGGUGCACACCGGACAGUCCGGUGCCCCCUUCCGACCGUUGGCUCGGCCACGUGUCCUGCGCAGAUCGCGCGGCCGACCGUUGGCCCGGCCGACCGUUGGCUCACCGGACAGUCCGGUGCACACCAGACAGUCCGGUGAAUUUUAGUCGUACGCCGUCGGCAAAUUCCCGAGAGCGGCCACUUCGCUCGAGGCAACCUGGCGCACCGGACACUGUCUGGUGCACCACCGGACAGUCCGGUGCCCCAGACCGAAACCGCCUCUUGGCUGUACACAGCCAACUCCCCUCUUUUCUUCUUCUUCCUGUUUCUGAUACUUAGACAAGUAUAUUAGUACACAAAACCAAUGUACUAAGGCUUAGAAACAUACCUUUACUCUUGAUUUUGCACUUUGUCCAUCCAUAAGCAUGAAUUCACAUUUAAGCACUUGUGUUGGCACUCAAUCACCAAAAUACUUAGAAAUGGCCCAAAGGCACAUUUCCCUUUCAAUCUCCCCCUUUUUGGUGAUUUAUGCCAACACAACAUAAAGCAACUAGAACAAGUGCAAUAUCACUUCAAAUAAAACUCAAAUUUCUUUUGAUUCAAUUUUGGCAUAUAUAUGGAUCAUCCUUUGCCACCACUUGGUUUGUUUUUGCAAAUCAAACUCAAAUCUCUAUCUCUAAGUCAAACACACAUGUUGAAGCAUAAAGAGAGUCAUUCCAAAAGAGAUUGAUCAAAGAUUUCAAAAACUCCCCCUAUUUCCCAUAAUCAACACUUCUCCCCACAAGAGGCCAACUUUGGACAAAAGAGACAAUGCAAGAGUUUUGUCAAACCAAAAACUCUAUCCUGCUAUUUUCAAAGUUUCUCAAGUGGUAGCUGAUCCAUUUAUCGCUUUGGCCUUUAUUUUCUCCCCCUUUGGCAUCAAGCACCAAAACGGGAUCAAUCUUGGCCCUUUAACCCCAUUGCCUCACCAAAAUCUUCAAUUACGAGCAAAUAGGCAAUAAGAGUUAAAAGAUGAACUUGGAGAAAUUACUCUUUUCAUCGGAGUGCAGUGGAAGUCUUUCACGGUCCAAGUCCACCUUUCCCUUUCAAACCUUCUUUGAGACUAAAACAAUCAAACUCAAACAAAUGGUUAGUCUCAAAGGGUCAAGUUGCAACACGUUUCCCCCUAAAACUGUGCAUCACUUUGCAACGGACUUGUGAGGUCCAUGGAGUGUGUGUACAACUUGAGCACCACAAUAAACAACAAAAUGCAAAAAGGAACAUGAUCAAAGGCAUAAACACAUGUAUGCUAUAAAUCAAUCCAGGUUCCGCGAAUCUAAGACAUUUAGCUCACUACGCAACCUGCAAAAGGUCUUCUCAUCUAGAGGCUUGGUAAAGAUAUCGGCUAGCUGGUUCUCGGUGCUAACAUGAAACACUUCGAUAUCUCCCUUUUGCUGGUGAUCUCUCAAAAAGUGAUGCCGGAUGUCAAUGUGCUUUGUGCGGCUGUGUUCAACAGGAUUUUCCGCCAUGCGGAUAGCACUCUCAUUGUCACAUAGGAGUGGGACUUUGCUCAGAUUGUAGCCAAAGUCCCUGAGGGUUUGCCUCAUCCAAAGUAGUUGCGCGCAACACUGUCCUGCGGCAACGUACUCGGCCUCAGCGGUGGACAGGGCAACGGAGGUUUGUUUCUUAGAGUUCCAUGACACCAGGGACCUUCCUAAGAAUUGGCACGUCCCCGAUGUACUCUUCCUAUCGACCUUACAUCCAGCAUAGUCGGAAUCUGAGUAUCCAACCAAGUCAAAGGUAGACCCUUUUGGAUACCAAAGCCCGAAGCAAGGCGUAGCAACCAAAUAUCUUAGAAUUCGCUUCACCGCUACUAAGUGACACUCCUUAGGAUUGGAUUGAAAUCUAGCACACAUGCAUACGCUAAGCAUAAUAUCCGGUCUACUAGCACAUAAGUAAAGCAAAGAACCUAUCAUUGACCGGUAUGCUUUUUGAUCAACGGACUUACCUCCUUUGUUGAGGUCGGUGUGUCCGUCGGUCCCCAUCGGAGUCUUUGCGGGCUUGGCGUCCUUCAUCCCAAACCGCUUCAGCAAGUCUUGCGUGUACUUUGUUUGGGAGAUGAAGGUGCCGUCCUUGAGUUGCUUCACUUGGAACCCAAGGAAGUAGUUCAACUCGCCCAUCAUCGACAUCUCGAAUUUCUGAGUCAUUACCCUGCUAAACUCUUCACAAGACUUUUGGUUAGUAGAACCAAAUAUUAUGUCAUCGACAUAAAUUUGGCACACAAACAAAUCACCAUCACAUGUCUUAGUGAACAGAGUUGGAUCGGCUUUCCCAACCUUGAAAGCAUUAGCAAGUAAAAAGUCUCUAAGGCAUUCAUACCAUGCUCUUGGGGCUUGCUUAAGUCCAUAGAGCGCCUUAGAGAGCUUACACACAUGGUCGGGGUACCGUUCAUCCUCGAAGCCAGGGGGUUGCUCCACGUACACCUCCUCCUUGAUUGGCCCGUUGAGGAAAGCGCUCUUCACAUCCAUUUGGUACAACCUGAAAGAAUGGUGAGCGGCAUAUGCUAGCAAGAUACGAAUUGAUUCUAGCCUAGCCACAGGAGCAAAUGUCUCCUCAAAGUCCAAACCUGCGACUUGGGCAUAACCUUUUGCCACAAGUCGAGCCUUGUUCCUCGUCACCACCCCGUGCUCGUCCUGUUUGUUGCGGAACACCCACUUGGUUCCCACAACAUUCUGCUUGGGACGAGGCACCAGUGUCCAAACUUCAUUGCGCUUGAAGUUGUUGAGUUCCUCCUGCAUGGCCAAUACCCAAUCCGGAUCUAGCAAGGCCUCCUCUACCCUGAAAGGCUCAAUAGAAGAGACAAAGGAGUAAUGCUCACAAAAAUUAACUAAACGAGAUCGAGUAGUUACUCCCUUGCUAAUGUCACCCAGAAUUUGGUCGACGGGAUGAUCCCUUUGAAUCAUCGCUCGAACUUGGGUUGGAGGUGCCGGUUGCGCUUCUUCCUCCAUCACAUGAUCAUCUUGUGCUCCCCCUUGAUCACACGCCUCCUAUUGAUGAACCUGUUCAUCGUCUUGAGUUGGGGGAUGCACCGUUGUUGAGGAAGAAGGUUGAUCUCGUUCAUCUUGUUCCUGUGGCCGCACUUCUCCAAUCGCCAUGGUUCGUAUAGCGGCCGUUGGAACAUCUUCUUCAUCUACAUCAUCACAAUCAACAACUUGCUCUCUUGGAGAGCCAUUAGUCUCAUCAAAUACAACGUCGCUAGAGACUUCAACCAAACCCGAUGAUUUGUUGAAGACUCUAUACGCCUUUGUAUUUGAGUCAUAACCUAACAAAAACCCUUCUACAGCUUUGGGAGCAAACUUAGAAUUUCUACCCUUCUUUACUAGAAUGUAGCACUUGCUCCCAAAUACACGAAAGUAAGAUACAUUGGGUUUGUUACCGGUUAGUAGCUCAUACGAAGUCUUCUUGAGGAGGCGAUGAAGGUAGACCCUGUUGAUGGCGUGGCAAGCUGUGUUCACGGCUUCCGACCAGAAACACUCGGGGGUCUUGAAUUCUCCAAGCAUCGUCCUCGCCAUAUCGAUUAGCGUCCUGUUCUUCCUCUCUACCACACCAUUUUGCUGUGGUGUGUAGGGAGCGGAGAACUCGUGCUUGAUCCCUUCCUCCCCAAGGAACUCCUCCACUUAAAGGUUCUUGAACUCGGACCCGUUGUCGCUCCUUAUCUUCUUCACCUUGAGCUCAAACUCAUUUUGAGCUCUCCUUAGGAAGCGCUUGAGGGUCCCUUGGAUUUCAGACUUAUCCUGCAAAAAGAACACCCAAGUGAAGCGGGAAAAGUCAUCAACAAUAACUAGACCAUACUUACUUCCCCCUAUGCUCAGAUAGGCGACGGGUCCGAAGAGGUCCAUAUGCAGCAUCUCCAGGGAUCUUGAAGUGGUCAUCACAUUCUUGCUGUGAUGCGCUCCUCCCAACUGUUUACCUGCUUGACAAGCUGCACAAGGUCUAUCUUUUUCGAAUUGCACGUUAGUCAAACCUAUCACGUGUUCUCCCUUUAGAAGCUUGUGAAGGUUCUUCAUCCCCACAUGUGCUAAGCGGCGAUGCCACAGCCAGCCCAUGCUAGUCUUAGCUAUUAAGCAUGCAUCUAGACCGGCCUCUUCUUUUGCAAAAUCAACUAAAUAAAGUUUGUCGUCUAAUACACCCUUAAAAGCUAGUGAACCAUCACUUCUUCUAAAGACAGACACAUCUACAUUUGUAAAUAGACAGUUAUACCCCAUGUUGCAUAAUUGACUAACAGAUAGCAAAUUAUAUCCAAGACUCUCCACUAAAAACACAUUAGAGAUAGAAUGCUCAUUGGAGAUUGCAAUUUUACCUAGCCCUUUUACCUUGCCUUGAUUCCCAUCACCGAAUAUAAUUGAAUCUUGGGAAUCCUUAUUCUUGACGUAGGAGGUGAACAUCUUCUUCUCCCCCGUCAUAUGGUUUGUGCAUCCGCUGUCGAUAAUCCAGCUUGAACCCCCGGAUGCAUAAACCUGCAAGGCAAAUUUAGGCUUGGGACUUAGGUACCCAACUCUUGUUGGGUCCUACAAGGUUAGUCACAAUUGUCUUAGGGACCCAAAUGCAAGUUUUAUCACCCUUGCAUUUUGCCCCUAAUUUCCUAGCAAUCACCUUUCUAUCCUUUCUACAAAUUGCAAAGGAAGCAUUCAAAGCAUGAUAUAUUGUAGAAGGUUCAUUUACUUUCCUAGGAACAUUAACAACAUUUCUCCUAGGCAUAUUAUGAACAGCAUUUCUCCUACCAACAUUUCUAUCAUGCACAUAAGAAGAGCUAGAAGCAAACAUGGCAUGAGAAUCAAAGGCAUUAUAUGCAUUACAACUCCUAUAAGCAUUUCUAGGUUGUCUUCUAUCAUAGUACAUAAAGGCAUGGUUCUUUUGCACACUACUAGCCAUAGGGGCCUUCCCUUUCUCCUUGGCGGAGAUGGGAGCCUUAUGGCUUGUCAAGUUCUUCGCUUCCCUUUUGUAGCCAAGUCCAUCCUUAAUUGAGGGAUGUCUACCAAUCGUAUAGGCAUCCCUUGCAAAUUUUAAUUUAUCAAAUUCGCUUUUGCUAGUCUUAAGUUGGGCAUUAAGACUAGCCACUUCAUCAUUCAAUUUAGAAAUUGAAACUAGGUGUUCACUACAAGCAUCAACAUUAAAAUCUUUACACCUAGUGCAAACCAUAACAUGUUCUACACAAGAGUUAGAUUUACUAGCCACUUCUAGUUUAGCACUUAAAUCAUUAUUAACACCUUUUAAAGUAGCAAUGGUUUCAUGACAAGAAGAUAAUUCACUAGAAAGCACUUCAUUUCUUUUAAUUUCUAGAGCAAGAGAAUUUUGUGCAAUAACAAAUUUAUCAUGCUCCUCAUAUAAAAGAUCCUCUUGUUUUUCUAGUAAUCUAUUCUUAUCAUUCAAAGCAUCAAUCAACUCAUUAAUCUUAUUAAUUUUAGAUCUAUCUAAUCCCUUGAAUAAGCAUGAGUAAUCUAUCUCAUCAUCAUCACUAGACUCAUCCUCACUUGAAGAAGCAUAAGUACUAGUAUCAUGAGUGCUUACUUUCUUCUCCCUUGCCAUGAGGCAAGUGUGACGCUCGUUGGGGAAGAGGGAUGACUUGUUGAAGGCGGUGGCGGCGAGUCCUUCAUUGUCGGAGUCGGAGGAGGAGCAACCCGAAUCCCACUCCUUUCCUAUAUGUGCCUCGCCCUUGGCCUUCUUGUAAUGCUUCUUCUUCUCCCUUUUGUUCCCCUUUUCCUGGUCACUUUCAUUAUCGGGACAGUUAGCAAUGAAAUGACCAAUCUUACCACAUUUGAAGCACGAGCGCUUCUCCUUUGUCUUGGUCUUGCUUGGCUGUCCCUUGCGACUUUUAAGCGCCGUCUUGAAGCGCUUAAUGAUGAGGGCCAUCUCCUCAUUAUUGAGCCCGGCCGCCUCAACUUGCGCCACCUUGCUUGGUAGUGCCUCCUUACUCCUCGUUGCCUUGAGAGCGAUGGGUUGAGGCUCAUGAGUAGGACCGUUCAACGUGUCGUCCACGUAUCUCGCCUCCUUGAUCAUCAUUCUCCCGCUUACAAACUUCCCUAGAACUUCUUCGGGCGACAUCUUGGUGUACCUAGGAUUUUCACGAAUAUUGUUCACCAAAUGAGGAUCAAGAACGGUAAAUGACCUUAGCAUUAGGCGGACGACGUCGUGGUCCGUCCAUCGCGUGCUCCCGUAGCUCCUUAUUUUGUUGAUAAGAGUCUUGAGCCGGUUGUAUGUUUGAGUUGGCUCCUCACCCCUUAUCAUUGUGAAUCGUCCAAGCUCGCCCUUCACCAACUCCAUCUUGGUGAGCAAGGUGACAUCAUUCCCCUCAUGAGAGAUUUUGAGGGUGUCCCAGAUCUGCUUGGCAUUGUCCAAGCCGCUCACCUUAUGGUACUCGUCCCUGCACAAAGAGGCUAGCAACACAGUAGUAGCUUGUGCAUUUUUAUGAAUUUGUUCAUUAAUAAACAUGGGACUAUCCGUACUAUCAAAGUGCAUUCCAUUUUCUACAAUCUCCCAUAUGCUAGGAUGGAGAGAGAACAAGUGACUACGCAUUUUGUGACUCCAAAAUCCGUAGUCCUCUCCAUCAAAAUGAGGAGGUUUACCAAGUGGAAUAGAUAAUAAAUGAGCAUUAGUACUUUGGGGAAUACGAGAGUAAUCAAAAGAAAAGUUCGAAUUGACCGGUUUCUUUCUCUCGUAUUCGUUGUGGUCGUCGUCCUUUUGGGAGGAAGUAGACUCAUCGCUGUCGUAGUAGACGAUCUCCUUAAUGCGUCUUGUCUUCUUCUUCUUCCCAUCUUUGCGUCUGUGGCCCGAGCCCGAGUCAUUGGACUUGUCAUCCCUUGGCUCGUUGACGAAGGACUCCUUCUCCUUGUCGUUGAUCACGAUUCCCUUCCCCUUAGGAUCCAUCUCUUCGGGCGAUUAGUCCCUUCUUGAAGAGAACGGCUUUGAUACCAAUUGAGAGCACCUAGAGGGGGGGUGAAUAGGUGAUCCUGUGAAACUUAAACUUAUAGCCACAAAAACUUGUUAAGUGUUAGCACAAUAAUCGCCAAGUGGCUAGAAAGGAGUCUCAGCAAAACACAAUACCACAAGAGAUCAAACACAGAGAUGACACAGUGGUUUAUCUCGUGGUUCGGCCAAGACCAACGCUUGCCUACUCCACGUUGUGGCGUCCCAACGGACGAGGGUUGCAAUCAACCCCUCUCAAGCGGUCCAAAGACCAACUUGAAUACCACGGUGUUUUGCUUUGCCUUUCAAUAUCCCGUUUGCGAGGAAUCUCCACAACUUGGAGCCUCUCGCCCUUACACUUAAGAUUCACAAAGAAAUACAGAGUAAGGGAGAAACUAGCAACGCACACAAGACUCAAAAUCAGAGCAACAGCACGCACACAAGUCGCAACAAGAGCUCGCAACACAACUCAAUAAGUCCACAACUCAACAAGAGCUCUAGAUGGUAUCACAAUGAACCAAAUGCGUGGAAUCGAUGUCUUGGUGCUUAGGAAUGUUGUAGGAAUGCUUGAUGUGCUCCUCCAUGCGCCUAGGGGUCCCUUUUAUAGCCCCAAGGCAGCUAGGAGCCGUUGAGAGCAGUUCUGGAAGGCUGAUCUUGCCUUCUGUCAUCGGGCGCACCGGACAGUCCGGUGCACACCGGACACUGUCCGGUGCCCGAUCUCCUUCCUAAAAUGGCGCAGCCGACCGUUGCAGAUCUGGGAGCCGCUGGCGCACCGGACAUGUCCGGUGCACACCGGACAGUCCGGUGCCCCGUUCCGACCGUUGGCUCGGCCACGUGUCCCGCGCAGAUCGCGCGGCCGACCGUUGGCCCGGCCGACCGUUGGCUCACCGGACAGUCCGGUGCACACCGGACAGUCCGGUGAAUUUUAGCCGUACGCCGUCGGCAAAUUCCCGAGAGCGGCCACUUCGCUCGAGGCAACCUGGCGCACCGGACACUGUCCGGUGCACCACCGGACAGUCCGGUGCCCCAGACCGAAACCGCCUCUUGGCUGUACACAGCCAACUCCCCUCUUUUCUUCUUCUUCCUGUUUCUGAUACUUAGACAAGUAUAUUAGUACACAAAACCAAUGUACUAAGGCUUAGAAACAUACCUUUACUCUUGAUUUUGCACUUUGUCCAUCCAUAAGCAUGAAUUCACAUUUAAGCACUUGUGUUGGCACUCAAUCACCAAAAUACUUAGAAAUGGCCCAAAGGCACAUUUCCCUUUCAAUUCACACAUGAUCAUAGCUCAACAAGUUGUGGGAAACCAGUGUGCAUAAACUCACCAAAGGUGGGAGUUCAUGUGAUGUGUAAGGCUGAUCAACAAUAGGGGUCAAAGCUGAGCACUGCUUUUAAUAAGUUGGUCAAAAAUUUAUUAGCAGUUACUAAAUGUAAGUGAAUACCAAACCAUAAUAAAAAUAAUAGAACAAAAAUAAUAAAUAAUCCCAUGCAAAUGCAAAUGACAAAUUGAAUUUAAGUUACAUAAAUUAAUCAUGCGAGAGUCCUGAGCUGCUCAUGACCGUGAGCUCGGAUAGUAUACCAGUUUUACACUCUAUAGAGGUUGUACCCAUUACCCACAAGUCAUGUUACCCAUCUGUCUAGGGAUCGCGACUCUCAUACACCUCUACCAAGGAAGCGAGGCAGGGCAACACUACGAGGCCUUUACAAAGUUCCACUAGCUUCCGAAAACCUACUAACGUUUAUGGGAAGAGCACUUGCAAGAAUCCCCGUCUGACUGCCAUCGCAGUAAAAUCAACCCGAGAACCUCCCUGCAUGCAACUCAACUACUGCCCUUGCCCCUUUCGGGUAAGGUAGUCUUCCACUAGCUUUCCUAAUUAGUUAGCCGAGGGGUCCCAUUCCUCCCUUGUGGUGGCACGUGUUUCUCAAGUUAAGCUCCAUGUUCCAAUUAACAUUAAUGAUCUUGACAUGAACAUAAAUAAAAUAACAAAAUAAUUGGAACAUGGAUACAAUGAAAUGUUAACCCAAACCCAUGUAAAGCAAAAGCAAAACUACCCAAGUGAUUCAGGGAUAACAAGGUAAAGAGAUAAACAGUCUAGGGUGACCUAUCGGGUCCCAUCAAAUUUAAGCCUAUGCAUGGUAAAUGAUUAUAAAGAACAUUAUUGGGUAAUUAAAAGUGAUCAAGGGCACAACUUGCCUUCAAUGAGCUCCUGCUCAGCAACUUCUAUCUACUGGGCACCAGGAUCCUCAGUCACAGGCUCUUCUACUCGCCACAAUACAAACAAGCACAGUAUAUAGAGAAAAUUAACAUCACACCAAACAUGUAAACAAAAUACAUAAUAAUAAUCUACACAUUAAAAUAAGAACCUAGGAACAGGAAUCAUUAAUUUUGGAGUUAUGGAUUUUAAAUUAUGAAUUUCCAAAGGUUUUAUGUGCUUGAUAUAUGAUUAAAUGAGGAAUUAAUUUUUCUUACUGUUUUCAUGUCAAAACAGAGACUCUAGGUGAUACACAAUAAUAUUAUAAAAUUUUAGAAACCAGAAUGUGUUAAUUUGGACUGAGUAUGAAUUUUCUAUGAUUUAUGCAAGUUCUAGCAAUUAUUUUUGCACAAAAAAAAUCUAUUUCUAAUUACUUUUCUAUCACUUUCCGUUUUCUGGACUGGGCCUCAAUUAUAGAAAUGUGUAGGGGCAACUUUGUAACAUUCCUGAGACUCAGUCGGCAGUGCUCGGGACGGUGGGUUGAUUCCAGUAAAACUCAGGGUCUCUUUUACAAAUUACUCGGCCAAAGGGUUAAACCGCGCCUUAGUCGUUCGAUCAAGCUCUAGCGGCACGGAUUAAAUCCACACCCCUGUGAACCGAUACGCAAUCUAAGCCUCUCGGUCUAACUUGGACAUUCCAGAUUUAAAUAACCUAUUCCCAUGCACGCCCGAUCGAUAAGAAUUGAACAGUACACGCCACAUCCGACUGAACCGGUAUACUGCUUCUAAUCGCGGCCAACCAAUUGAGGUUCAACGACCGAUGUUCAUCUUCACCACUCGACGGCAUGUCGGCGGCCACCAUCCAUUCACGGCGGAGCACCCACGCUUCCGGUGAUCCACUACCGAUGCCCCAGAGUUCCCAAACUAAAAUUAAUAGGUCCUAACGCAAACUGGAAAGGAAAGGGAGCUGCGCCAUGGCCUUACCUACACUGGAAGGUAGCAGAGGUCACCGGCCACGGUGGAAUGUAGUCGGCGCGGUGCCACAAUUGCCUACAAGCAAUUUGCCCCACGUUGUCGGCGCUGAAGUCCAACAGCAGACUCGAAUGGCUCCCACGGACACUAGCGAACCCCCACGGCUACGCCCCACAGUCAGACAACCGGCCCAGGCGAACUUCACCGUCGGCACAAGGUGGGUGCCUGCGGUGGUGGUUCAAGAGCAGGCUGAGCACACACGAGGCGGUGGUUUGUGGAGUUUUAGCGCACGAGGGGAAGGGCGAGGUCAAGGAGGUUCAUAUAGGCAUGAGUACCUGGCAGUGGGUCAGCUGGUGCCGGGGAACUCGGCGCGACAGUUUCGGGCGCCCGCCAUGCGUGCGAGGUUUGGUUGGAGCACGACGCGGUGACUGCGCGACCGGACCCACACGUCAGUGCACGCAAACGGCGAGUGCACGCGUACAAUGAAGCUGCAUGCGGACCUGGUCUGUCAGGGCAGCUACCGCCACGCGCGCGUAGCCUAGUUGGGCCGCGCGGAAGGAAAUCCCCUGGUGGGCUGAAUACAACUGUGUGGGCCCAGUGACUGUUUUUCCCAUUUCCUUUUGUAUUUUACUUUCCUUUCUCUUUUUAGAUUUUCAAAUCCAAAUUUUGAAUUCAAUUGUAACUGUGAACUUAUACUCAUUUUAAAUGUACAAAUUGAACCCAAAUAAUAUGGAAGGUCCACUUAUUUUUAUAUAUAUUUCUUUAUUUUUAUAUAGCAUUUUUCCUCCUCUCCUCUAAACUCCAAUUUGCAAAUUGGGGUUAAAUUUCCAAAUUUUGGAUUUUGAUAUAUUUCUUUUUACCCUAUUUUUAUAUUGUCAGAAAAGUGCACACAAAAUGAAACCUCAGUAUGAUGCAAAAAUUUAUUUGAGUGUUCUUUUGUUAAUUAUUUAUUUGUGUAAGUGGGGUGUCCACAUGAAAUGAUAGAUAGAGAUGACAUACAUAUAUAUAAAGGAAUAUAAUUUCUCCUUUUAGAUUUUUCUUACAAAGUGGGUAUUACAUGAUAUGAUUUUGGUUUGAGCGCUUUCUUCAUCGCAAAGUGAAGUGCUAAAUUUUAGUUUUAGCGGUAAAAAUUUGAUUGCUCCCAAUCACCCCUCUCUGGUCGCCUCACCGGUUCUUAAUUAUGCCACACCUGUCUAAGGUCAGACGCUCAAAUUCUGUGCUACAGUUUGCCACGAAUAAGGGAAUCUUGCCACCCUUUUAUAAAUCAUUGACAAGCGGGACCUACAGAGUACAAGAAAAAUUUUGUCGCAAAUAUGACUACAAACCAAAUACAUGCCUAACUUAGCCAAAAUUGUCUAACCUUAGACGUGGCAAAUUGUGUCAAGUGAGACUAUCUCGAGCAACUUACUUCAUGCCCAUAUUCAAAACAGUACAUUCUACAAUGCAAAACAGUACUACAUCUGUUCUCGAAUAUUUGUCGUCCGCUAGUUCAUUUUUAACUAAACUGUGAUAAAUAAAAAACGGAGAGAAUAAAAAAUAGUGUUUUACAUGAAUAUAUGAGUAAACUGCUGGACCUAGUAUGAGGCAGCAAACCAAACAGCCAAAUCUCUCGUGUGUUAUCCCCUACCAAAUGAAUGAAUGAUAUCCUUGGGCACGGUGAAGUGUGAACGACCAUUUGGCCGGGGCGCCGAGCAGCUGUCCAAAGUGCUGGAGGUGGUGUCCAACGACGUGAGGAGAUGUUAGACUGUCUGCAGCGGGUGACCCUUCCCCUCCCCUCCCCUACCACUGUACACCGUUUAGGGGCUACAAUAUCCCCCUUCUCCCCGCAACGGCGCACCCUACGGGCUCCUCUCUGAUGUGCUCCCCUUCUCUCUCACGCCAGAUGAAGGGGUUCACUGUUCACUCCCCCUCGCCUGCUUAUCGCGGAAGACGACGCCCGCGCCACACUGAGGAAAGUUCGUGGUCCACUUCUCUCCGUCUCGAAGCGUAUGUGGAAGAGGGUGAGAUCCGACGACGCGGCGGCGGAUCUGCCGGUGGAAGGGCGAAUCGGAGCCUGUUCUACUCGGCCACGAGCAGGACCAAGUCGAGUUUGUGAGCAGGCAAUCCCAUUCGCGUCCGAAGAAGAAGCACCCACAAAUCCGACUCCGCCAAAGUUCUUCGUCACCGCAACCAUCGUUUUCCUCUCCGAGCGUGGACGCCAUCCUCAUAUCCAGACUUGCUCCCUUCGAUUUGUCUUGGUGCGGCCAACAUCUUCCGUUCUUGUGGUGCGACCAUGCUCUUCUAUCUGCUCCCAAGUUCAUGUGUCUUCCUUUUUUUCAAAUUGUACGUGCUUAGUUCCGUAGUUGACUGAAGUUAUAGUAAAGGAGCGGAUUCAAAAACUACCACCAGCACACAUGUACAUGGAUCUCCUCUUUCUGUUAGGGUUUUCUUAAAACUCGUCACCAACCUUUCCACAUAAGUGUACAUGGAUCUGGUCCGGCGGUAGAAAGAUGCUAUUUAGCAUUGAUGUGGAUGAUGAAUCCGUGUGGGAUUGGUAUGCCGCCGGCAAUUAUUACGAACCCUAGAUUUGGGGGCUGAUUUUUUUGUCAGUAUCACAAAAAAUGUUCACUGGCGCAUAUAUAUAUAUAUAUAUGAUUACUUAUGUCAUUAGCAAGACUGAUAUGAAGCAUUUGCUAUGUCAUUUUUGGUUUCACAUAUAAACUUUGAUGAAUCCACAUUAUUGUGAGCAUCAUGUUCUCUUUGAAGCAGAACAUGUUCAUGUUUUGUCCUACAUUAUCAUGUUUCUUUAUUGAUGUUUUAUGGUCAUAUGGUAGCCAAAAAUGAUUGAAUAUAUGUGUGCUCUUUGAACAACCUAACAUUUAUUCGUAAACAAUAGAUGUGCAUGGUUCAUAAAUUUGUGUGCCUCAUGUUCUGUACAAAUCAGGAGUUCUUAAUGUUUUUUUGAAUAUAAGUGAUUAACUUGUUCACUUUUUUUGAUCCUAUGUUACCAAGUAAUUAUACAAUAUAUGUUUGAUCUUUCAUAUAGUUUCUGAGUACAUCAUCAGUAUGUGAGUUUUCUAUGUUUCCUCUUUGAUGAGUCAUGCUUGCAAUAAAAUUUUAUGUUCCUCCCAUCAAUAUGAGUCAUGCUUUCAUUAACAUUAUAUGUCACUGCCUAUAAUUUUGUGCUUCAAUUAGUAAACUUAUUGAAUCUGUGUGCCUAUAUGCUUUCUAAGGGUAUGCACUUGUUACUUCAUAUAUUAAUUGUUUGCAGCACAUUUCAUCAUGGCAUCCUCGACAGAAGAAAACGUGAAGGCUUCGCUCAAAGUCCUUGUUGACUGUGCCGAGGAUGCCACCAAAUCACUUGGUGGUUUAGUACAUCAUGCUUUAGACUACAUGCAUGAUGAAGAGAUCGUAGCUAGAACCUUGUUUGCCAUCAAAGAAAGACUAGACUUGCUACAGCAAGAUGCCUCAGAGGCAAAAGUGCAAGCUUUACCAGAAAUUGCUAAGUACCAGGGCGAUGACGUAAGUGUUGAACAUACAAGUCCAUCGAUGCCUCCAACAGUUACUGAUCGAUCCUUUGAUGAAGACGACUUGUACUGCCCCGAAGUUAGCGAUGAGUGGUACUUCAGCGAUUCUGAUAGGUCUACACGCAAUAGCUACUGGAAUAUUUAUUAGCCAUGUAUUCUAGCUUUAGAGAGAAGACAUCCUUUUGAACUUAUAAGUAGUCGUCGGCAGGCAACAACUCUUAGGUUGUGUGCUAUGAAACGACAAUUGAGUGGUCAUCUCCAUUUGAGUCUUCCUGGUAUGACGUUCUCAUAACCUAGUUCUAUGUAUGGAAUUGCCUACUUAAAUGUAGUAUGAAGACUCUCUUUUCAUUGAAGUUCUGCUGUUGCUACUCGAAUAGUUGAUGAAGACUUGUGUUAUUUAUUUUGAUUCUAUAAUGUCUUUGCCUUUUCAUCCGUAAUAUGUGUCUUCAUUAUAAUGUCCAUUGCAUUCUGUUUACACCAUUUCACUACAUUUUUCCCAUGUGCACAAAUCAUAGAAUGGACCCAGCAAACAAUGCCACAAAUUCUCAGGCCAUGUCAAACAAUUCAACUGGCCAACAAUUUUCCACAACUUGUCAGCAAUUUCCCACUCCACCACCGUUAUGGCCUAGGGGCUUCAUGCAGCAGCAACCUAUGGAUUGCAGCAUGAUGGGAAACCUUAAUUUUCCUAAUCUUGCACAAGGUCCAACAAAAAUGUGGACUCCCAUUCAGACAGGAAAUACAAGUUCAGAAUCGACCAUGCUUCCAGCCUCACAAUCUGCUAUGUAUUGGAACCAUUACAUGAACUUUGUCAGGAAUCCUCUAGGAUCAGUUCAAGGAAAUCCUUUUGUAGAUUCCUUUCUAGGUUCAAAUACUAGUACACCAUUGCAGGGUUCGAAUACAGUACCUUCAAUACCUCUGAACUUGGAGUCAGAUGUUGAACAUAGUGUUCAGGACAUCAAUAGUCAUGUAAAGACUCCAGCACCUGUUAACAAACCAAAGAAAACAAAGGAACAAAACUUUACUGCUACUGAAGACCUUCUACUUUGUACAACAUGGUUGCAAAUUAACAGUGAUCCUAUUAUCCACACUGGACAAAGGAAGGAGGGACUUUGGGCACGAAUAGAAAAAACGUACAACAAACAAAGGGCCGAGUAUCCAUGUAGACUGAACCAAGCACUUAGCAGCGGAUUGGACAAGACUCGAGCAGAUGUAAGUAAGUUCUCGGGCUGCUACGCAAGAGUUCUCUGAGAGAAACAAAGUGGCUUGACUGACGACGACAAGGUUAACACGGUCGUACACAAUUUAUGAAUUGUUUGUACUUAUCUCCAUCUUUGCAUUGUGGUCGGCAUAUUCUUAUUGAAUCCUCACUUUUGCAGACUUCCAAAGCGGCUACAUUGUUUGCACAUGAAGAGAAUAAACCAUUCCAUUUUAUGCAUUGCUGGCAUAAACUGAAGGGGGAACCAAAAUGGGAGAGCAUCUGUCAGGGACCUUCAUUCCGAGGAUUACAUGGAAAAUCAAUUGGAUCUUCUGGUGGUCCAACAAUUGGUGGACAAGAAUCUGAUAGUGGUUCUGCUGGUUUGACAGGAAAACAGUCUCUUGGCCAUGAUUCUAGUAAAUCAGAGAGAAAGAAAGUUGUGUCAUCAUCGUCGACGGAAUACUUAAGUCGCCUGCAAGAUCUAACAGAAAAACAAAUUCAGCGCUGCAUAGAAAAGGGUGAGAAGAAAGAAAAGUGCAAUGAACAAGACAGGGAACUAGAGAAUAAGAGGUUGAACUUGGUAGCUAAAAAGUUAAGCAUUUGUGAAAGGGAAUUGAAAUUAGAAGAACUCAGAUCAGCCAAAGAAUAGUUGCAGAUGCUGCAGUGUACUAGUGAAGACGAUGUUGAUCCUGAAGUUUGGACAAUGAUGAAGGAGCACAAAAAACGCUUGCAGCAGUUCAUAUUUAGUUUUCGUUAAUUGUACUGUUGUGGUUCAUGUCGUACUAGUGUUGCCAUAUGCGGUUUGAGAACAAUUUUCUAAGUUCAUUGUGUUAUUUGUUAUCUGAAACAUUAUAAAGUUGUUGUAAGCAUAAGUCUUGCAAGACAUGUUGGUUCUAUUUAAUGUUGUAACAUGUGUACUACAUAAUAAUUCAGUCGUGUGUGUAAAAACCUAUCAUUAUUAUUUGUUGCAUUCUUAUGUUGUGGUUUGCUUGUUCAAAAAGGUUGUACAUGUGUAAUGUGAGAGAAAACAUUUGAAUCACUUAGUCCACGAACAAACGACAUCGGGUACUUAUUAAAUUGUAGAACCAUAACAACGACAUAACAUACGACAUUGAACUUAUUGAAUUUACGAUGCAACUACGUAGUGAUGAAACGAUAAGUUCACAUGCUUCCAUGUUGAGCCCACAAAUGCUCCACAAGAUCAUUUUGAAGUGUCGAUGACCUGUCUUGGCGAGGAAGAUCGAAGUGAUUGAUCACCCAUUCCGACCGUCCUUCUUGAAUUAGUUGAGAUGGUUCAAUGCCUGAAGUGUUGUCUCCGAAAUCUAUAUUAGCAGCAAACUGACCUUCGUCUUCGAUAAUCAUGUUGUGCAUGAUGAUGCAUGCUGUUAUGAUCUCCGUUAAAUGAUUACGAUCCCAACCGUACACUGGACCACGCAGCACCGCCCACCAGGCUUGAAGAACUCCAAAUGCACGCUCAAUAUCCUUUCUGCAACUUUCCUGCAUUUGUGUGAAAUAUACUUUCUUUUCCUCAUAUGGGUGUCUAAUUGCUUUGACAAAAGUUGGCCAGUUGAGGUAAAUGCCAUCAGCAAGGUAAUAUCCGAAGUUGUAAGCAUGACCGUUGAUUGUGUAGUUCACUAGUGGCAUUCGACCGCUUGUCAUGGGGUCAAAUAUUGGUGAUCGGUGAAGCACAUUUACGUCAUUAUUUGUCCUAGGCAUACCAAAAAAUGCAUGCCAAAUCCAUAAAUCAUACGAUGCUACCGCUUCGAGUAUCAUCGUAGGUCUUCCAUUUCUGCCACAAAACUGUCCACGCCAGGCCGUAGGACAGUUCCUCCACUCCCAAUGCAUGCAAUCUAUGGAACCCAACAUUCCAGGAAAGCCCCUAGCCUCGCUAUUGUGCAUGAUGCGUGCUAUGUCAGCUUGAUUAGGAGUUCAUAGAUACCAGCCACUAAAAUAUGCAAUGAUUGCGCGACAAAAAUGAUUAAGGCAUUCUUAGCGGUGGACUCCCUAAUUUGAAUGUACUCGUCUACGGCAUCAGUAGGUAACCCUUAAGCAAGUAUCCACAUUGACGCACAUACUUUUUGAAGGGGUCCAAGUCCUGGCAGGCCUGUUGCGUCCACCCGUUGCGUAAAGUAAUUAUCCUGCUGUUGCAGUCCUUCCAUAAUGCGGAUGAACAACGACCUACUCAUGUGGAACCUAUACAAUGUAAUAGGUUCGUUAUGAAGACAAUGCUAAUGUCAGAACAUAUCCAGAAAAAGUUUGGACUUCGUACCUUCUACGAAACACGUGGGGUGGAUACACUGGAUUGGGACCGAAGUAGUGAUGCUGGAUGAGGUUUUCUCUAGCAAAAUGAUCCCUGUGAAUGAUGCGGCGAGGUAUACCGGAACGUCGUCGGAGAAGGUGUCUAGCCUCAAUGUUGAGGGUAAGAAGACUGACAAGUAUAAGUGUGUCGUCGUCACUAUCACUCGAAUCGGAAUCAUUUUCCCUAUCGAAAUUAGACAUACCGAACAAUGGCUAACUAGCUGGAGUUGUGUUGGAUGUGGGCACAUUUGGGAAGAGAAAGUAUGCAUAUAUAUAUAUAUAUAUAUAUAUAUAGGCGAGAUGAAUAUGGCUUCAGGGGAAAGCUCGUGGCUUUCGCUGGAAGACAACAGUGGCUUCUUGCGUGCGAUUGUUCGAGGUCUGCUUGCAACAUAAGCUAGGUUCAAUUAUGACGUCACAAUGUUUCAUGAAAUGUUUGACGACGCCCUAUUUUGACGUUUUGUAUGGCAUUCGUAAUAAAUUUUUAACUAAAUUGUUUUGUUAGUAUGUUCUGCAUAAAUUGUAAACAAAAAAUAAAUUUAUGAAAAAAAAUUAUUUACACCAUUGCAACAUGUCGGAAGUGUGAAAAGGAAAAAAGAAAAUAGAAAAUGAAGUUGGUUAUGUUAGUUAUGUGGAAAUGUAUAUUUAAUGUGUAGAGGGAUACAUAUGGGAAUUUAUAGGGGGAACGGUUGUGGGAUGAGUGAAUAUAGAGGAGAGAAUCUUGCUGACGUGAUUGCAUAGUAACAUUUAGGGGGAACCACUGUGGAUAGUCUUAGGCUAUCCGCAGCGCUUGAGACCGUCUGCAGCGCAUGCCGCGGCGUACCCUCUCCCCUUGCACUGUAUACGCGUAGGGGGCCUCUACGCCCGCAGCGGCGGCCUCCAAAUGGCCCCCUACGCACUGCAGCGCAAGGGGACGCCGCACCGCUCCUCCAGAUCAAGGGGAGCCCUGUAGUGCCCCCUUACACAGUGCUCCCCUAUUUAAUAGUUAAAAAAAUAGUUAUAAAAGAUUAAUAGGGUUAGAUAAUGAUAUUUUAUAGUUGUAGUGGGGUAUAGGGGGAUAAUAUAGGGAGAACUACUGCGGGAGAUGAAAAGGUAGGGGGUGAAAUGUUGAUGAUGUGACGCAAAAAAAGUGAUAUAUGAAGGAAAAUUUAGAGGUCACCGCUGCGGACAGUCUGACGCUCGGUGCCCUCUCCCUUAAGCCUAUUCACGUAUAGGAUCACUCCGUAAGUACAACAGCAUACUCUACUUCCUCCCCUUCCCUCCCACUGCGCACGGCAUCAUGCCAGAACAAGGGGUGCACUAUUCAGCCCUCUUGCCUCGAAAUUUGUGCACGCCAUUAUUUGUUAGUUAGAGAAUAAAUGAUGUUGGAUGAUGAAUAAGUAUAAAAAUAAUAUUUUAUACUUAUAGUGGGGUAUAGUGAAAGAAUUUAGGGGAACCGUUGCGGAAAGGGAAAAAAUAGGGGGUGAAAUCUAGAUGAUAUGGCUGCAUAGUAAAGUAUAGAAGAAAAUAUUUAGAGGAACCGUUGCAGGUAGGCUUAGGCCACACGAGGGAUGUGAUCAGAAAGAGACCGGCCAGGUCUCAUCGCAACGGUUACUCCUUCCUAUAACGAACUUUUCCCUCCCUACAUGGCAAAUGGUACAUCCCCUGCUCUGUUCUGCUUCUUCGCGCGUCCUCCCUGCCUAUAAAAACAGUCAAUGCCCCGCUUCGCUCGAUCCGUUUCCCAGACCCACACACGCAAGAAGCCAGCGCGCACAACAGAACGAACGCCACAGCGCGAGUGGAGUCGGUGGACGAGACAGAGAGGGGGAGGAACGACGGCGACGGCCAUGGAGACGGUGGCGGACACAGAGGGGUGGACAACUGGGCGACAGCACCGCAGCGGCGGCUUCUGGUUGAGAACGGAGAUCGAGACGGACCGGGGGGUCCCCAUUCCCAGGUAGGUAGGAGAAAGCAUCACCAGCAACCUGAUUCACCGUUCUUGAUUCCCCCUGCUGCUCCAACUCCAAUCCGUGGACGGUUCUUUCUUUGCUGCUGACUUCUUCCUAUUGCCGACUUGCCGUCCAUGGAUGCUUGUUCCGAUGGCUGGCUCUCUUCUUUCUUGGCUUUGCAUGCCCUCUGGAUCCGUGUUCGUCUCGCCCUUUUUCCUCCCACGACGCUGAAUUCUUGGCUGUGCACUCUGCAGGGGCCCCGGGUUCGGGUUUGCCGCCGCCGUGCGGGAGCCGCUGGUGAAGCUCCGGCGGCCCCGGUAUGACUUCGAGAGGUGGGACUGGGGCUACUUCGUCUGGCCUCACGACCGUCUCGACGGUACGUAAGCAGCAUUGCUCAAGUUCAGCCCUCCUGGAUGAACCUUAUUAGAGGUCGAUGAAUCUGGACGGAAAUCUUGAGUAGGUUAACUGGACCUGCCGUUUGUGUUGUCGAACAAACCAAACAGAAAUUAGACUUCACUAGUCUCUAGCAGAUUACGCGCAGAUCUUGUUCAGCGAUUCUGGGAAGGAUUAUUCAUCGCGUGUCUGUUUCAAAUUAGCCUGGUGAACUGGUCUGCCGUCUACGGAUAUGUAGUUGGUCUUGGUCAGGAUACAUCAAUGAAUUUGGACAGGGCUGUGGCUUAGGUUAAUCUCGUGUGGUUUUGUUUCAGAACCAACGAAGUUCCAUAUUAAGAGUGCAUCAGCUUCAAUGACGUGAACGCAUUUUCGAACUAUUCUCGUCUAGAAGCACAGAUCGUGUGAUGAAAAAAAAACUACAUAUGGUUUCAUGCAGCACAAAAAUAUAGUUGCACAGUACUGGUCAUUUAUGAACCGCUAACUCUUAUUAUGCAGCCAAUCUUGAGAUGAGGGACAGUGACCCGGAGGCGACGCUUGAAGCCGACUUGAAGGCGGGCGAGAGCUUCGUGAACCAGAGAACGCUGCAGCUGGAGAGCUACGAGACGUCCCAGCGCAGGCAGCAGCAAUACGCUGCAAUCUGGCCCUGCGACCAUCUCGCUGGUAAGCGUUACUCAAGAUCCUAGUUGGCAUGCCAACAAAUAGCAUGAUGUGAUCGCUUCGGCCUUAGUACUUAAUCUCAGUAACAGCAUUUAAAUUAACACAGUUUCUGCCUAAAAACUGGAUUUCCUGGUUGGUUCCGAGAGGUCAAUGAAUCGGACGGGGAAGUUCAAAGAUAAAUCCUCAUCGUAUUCAGUAGUUAUGUCACAUGCAGAGUAACCCUUUACAACAAGAACAACACAAAAUGUAGCCAAUGUAAGUAUUGCAAAUCCAACACAUGUUCUGACGAAAUUCGCUGGAAGCACAUUGCCUGACAAAAAACUGAAAAUAUUAAUUUGGGAUCCAUUGAUGAUUCAUCGUUAAAGCUGCAGUAAAAAAAAACUGGACAAGAAGCUAAAUUAAACUUCUUAUUGAUGCAGCCAAUCUGGAGAUGAGGGACGACGGUGACCCGGAGGCGACCCUUGAGGCAGAUCGGAAGGCGAGCGAGAGCUUCCUGAACCACGGCCCACUGCAGCUGGAGAGAAGUUUGAUGUGCCAGGACGACGGUAAGCAUGCUCAAGCAGGCUUCAUGGUGUAUUUACCAGAAGUUUGCCAACAAGCCGAACUUUUGGUUCAUGCAGCCAAUCUGGGACCGGGAGUGGGGAGGAACAGCGAAAACAAGGCGAAGCUUGGGACUGACGCCCGGAAGACCAAGGAGCGGAGGAGCACGCGGCGGCUGAAGAGGUCUGAGAUGGAUCGACGCACGAAGGCGAAGCAGCAGGAGAAGGAGAACGAAGGAGCCGCACUGUUCCGGACACCCAUGCCUGCCAUUGUCAACAAGAAGGCCGUAGGACCCAGAUCGGCGCGGCGUCGCCGUGUUUUCGCAGAAGCUAACCGGAUCCUGGAUGGCUGAUGGUACCAGUACCACCAUGCCUUGAGCUGGAUGCGUUUCAAGUCUGUCUGAUAGGUAUGGCUUUGGGUUGGAGAGCGUUGCCCCCAGAGCUGGACGCUGGUGGACCCUGCUGACCUUUUUAGCUCGGAAGGAACUACUAGAGUAGAGAGCAUGUUCAUGUGUACGUAUGUAUAUAGUAUCAGUACAGUACAGUACAAGGUAUAAGCAUUUCCCGCUUUUGUUUUCAUCUCAAUCCAUGUGCAUUGGAGGCAAUUGGAUGGGUUUAUAUCUAUAGCAAGUUAAAAUCUCUAAUAUUUUUUUUCAAUCUCAUUCAAUCUAUGUGAUGUAGGAAUAACCGAACAAGGUUGCUGAACACCAAAAGUGACGGACGGUCUGGCCCUAGGGCCCAGACAGUCCGCGCCCUCGCGAUCAGAUUAAAUCGGACGAUUAUCCUUAACCCGAGUAUGGUUAUCCAUCACGUGUGAUUUGUUAGCUAUUGCCUAAAAACGGGUCCAAACCUGCUCUAUAUAUAUAUAUGAAGGGGUACGGCCGAUUGAGAACCCUGAACACAUUCCAAUCGAACCUAUCGACUUUAUUUAUUUUUCUUGCCCUAGGAGUAGAUGUAACGUAGCUUUAGUUGUAGUCUUUCGUAUAUCCACCUCCACCCCUAUUCGACUCUACGUCGUUUAGAUAGUCCUGGGGUGGCUUGCCGAUCCCAGGAAGAUCCUAGGACCUUACCCCUUCUGAAGGGCAAGGUCUACUUCGUCUACUUCACUCAAGAUAUCUUCUUUGAAUUGAUCUAUUAAUUUCUAGGUGACUCUACGUCGUUUGGAGACGCUCCAGGUGACCUGCUGACCCGGAGCACCAUAAGGCCUCUUCCCCAGGGGCAGGAUCUAGGUCCCACGAGGAGAAGAAGAUGACCCUGAGCCAGUGUGGAUCGUCCGGACAACACGCAAGGAAGGCGCCACUCCUAUCGCUAGGAUGCCGACCGUUCGGCCCAUAGUCGCGGACCAUCUGCACCGUCGCCGCGAGCACUGCUAGGCGACCCGGUGACCCGUCACGGACCGCCACCAACGUUCACCUUGCGGAGCCGAACCUAAGGUAUUGCUCAUCAUGAGAAGGCCCUAGGGUUCGUUAUUGUUUGGUCUCAAAUAGGUGGCGGUCAUCAUAGAGGUGAUUCAAUGCUCUAAAGAUCUUCAACUUUAUUCGACCCUACUGUUGGGGGUCUUCUUCCCCACCAAAGGUUCUCAAGACAAAAACACCUUCGGCAAAAUGAUACAGAAGUCUUCCCUUCCUCUGCUCAAGAUUCUCAAAACGAAGACCUUGCGUAGAAGCAACAUUGCCAAACGCCAAAGCUACCAUCAGAUUCGGUUCAAGUCAAGCAGAAGAAGAAAAGACCAGAUAGACCUUAGCAAUCCAGGUUGUCUGUAGAUAAAUGUUGAGGGUCAUGAAUGUAAUUUCACCCGGGCUGCGUCACGUGCCAAUAAAUAGAUGAACAGUAACAUCGUAUUGUUCACGCUAAAUUGUAAUUACUCUCUCACGUCUUCACCUUCGAACAAGCCGAAGGUAUCAAUGUAAUAUGAAUUAUGUUAAUAUUCAUACAUGUUUUCAAGAAUGCAAAUAUGAAUGAAUUAACGAGAUGCAGCUAUUAUCUUUGUCCCUUUGCAUUCCUGUUCACACAUUAAAAUGAUGAAGGUAUGUCCUUCAUGACCUUCGUCUGAUGAGCAUUAUAUCCUCAGGAAGAUAAUUCUUCAGAAGACGAAUGUCCCUAAUAAUUAACAAUUGUGUUGCCUUGUUCUUGAUUCACAACAUUUCAGAAUGGGUGACCAAUGCCUACAUCAUCUAAAGGUGCCAAGUACCGCAGUCGGUUCAUUAUAGUGUUUGGUGACUAAAUCAAUGCCAACACACUUUUUGCCAACUCCGCUGGGGACAAAAAUCGGGUCUACAAAUCCUAUCCAUUAGAUUAGAUCUAUUAAAUUAGACCUAUCAAAUCGCACGUAGUGGCCGAUCCCAAAGAUCACAACAACGUUGCCCAAGACAUCAACACAAGGCUGACUAACUCGCUGACCGCUGAGGAUGAGAAAUUAGAAGACCAUAUAAAAAGGAUGGAUGAGGAAUUCCAACGACAACAGGCUUAGAUAUGGAAGGUGGCGAAAAAGUGGUAGCUCUCGCAUUUCAAGGUAGAUCACCACUAGAAGGUCGUCAAAGAGGAAAGUAAAGUACGAUUCACUAUCAGCCUUGCUGCAUCAGCUCCCCAUUGUAAGUAACACCACGUCAUUAGCCGAUAUUCAAUCUAUUAAAUUUCUUUCGAUAAUCAGAUUAAAAUUAUAAUGGAGGAAAUAAAGAAUGUGACGCAUGUAUUAGAAAAAAAACUCAUACACUUGAUUUUUUGUUACAUAAAUUGGGCACUAAAAUAACUACGUCAAAACAUUGGCAACAAAUGGGGCUUCUCAGUGAAAGGGAAUUAGGCUUACACCUAUUUCCUAAAUAAUUUUGGUGGUUGAAUUGCCCAACACAAAUAAUUGGACUAACUAGUUUGCUCCAGUGUAUAAGUUAUACAGGUGCCAAAGGUUCACAACAAGCCAAUUAAAAAGACCAAAGUUGGGUUCUAAAUAGAGAGCUAAAGGCAUCCCGAAAGGCUCCCUGGUCUGGCGCACCGCACUGUCCGGUGUGCCACCGGACAGUGUCCGGUGCACCAGGGGACUUCACGCUGAACUCCUCAGCCUCGGGAUUUCUCAGAGCCGGCGCGCUAUAAAUCACCGGACUGUCCGGUGCUCCAAGAAGACGCGGCUCCGGAACUUGGCAGCCUCGGAAAUUUGUAACGGCUGCUCCGCUAUAAUUCACCGGACAUGUCCGGCGUACACCGGACUGUCCGGUGUAACUGCGGAGCAACGGCUACUUCGCGCCAACGGUCACCUGCAGGCGCAUUUAAUGCGCGCCAGAAGCGCGCAGAAGUCAGGCACGCGCGCGACGGCGCACCGGACACUCUACAGUACAUGUUCGGUGCGCCACCGGACAUCCAGGCGGGCCCAGAAGACAGAGCUCCAACGGUCGGACCCAACGGCUCUUGGUGACGUGGCUGUCGCACCGGACAUGUCCGGUGUACACCGGACUGUCCGGUGCACCAUUCGACAGACAGCCCCACCAAACGGCUAGUUUGGUGGUUGGGGCUAUAAAUACCCCCAACCACCCACCAUUCAUUGCAUCCAAGUUUUCCCACUUCAACUACUUACAAGAGCUCUAGCAUUCAAUUCUAGACACGCCAAAGUGAUAAAAUCCUCUCCAAACUCCACACAACGCCCUAGUGAUUAGUGAGAGAGAUUUGCUUGUGUUCUUUCGAGCUCUUGCGCUUGGAUUGCUUUCUUCCUUCUUUGAUUCUUCAUUGCGAUCAAACUCACUUGUAAUUGAGGCAAGAGACACCAAUCUUGUGGUGGUCCUUGUGGGAACUUUGUGUUCCAAGUGAUUGAGAAGAAAAGCUCACUCGAUCCGAGGGACCGUUUGAGAGAGGGUAAGGGUUGAAAGAGACCCGGCCUUUGUGGCCUCCUCAACGGGGAGUAGGUUUGCAAGAACCGAACCUCGGUAAAACAAAUCCGCGUGUCACACUCUUCAUUCGCUUGCGAUUUGUUUUACGCCCUCUCUCUCGGACUCAUUAUUAUUUCUAAUGCUAACCCGGCUUGUAGUUGUGAUUAAUUGUGUAAAUUUCAGUUUCGCCCUAUUCACCGCCCCUCUAGGCGACUUUCAAUUGGUAUCAGAGCCCGGUGCUUCAUUAGAGCCUAACCGCUCGAAGUGAUGUCGGGAGAUCACACCAAGAGGGAGAUGGAGACCGGCGACAAGCCACUACGAGUCACGGGAGCACUUCAUCGGAAGAGUCCCGCACCAAGAGGAAGGAGAAGAAGAAGGACUCCUCCAAAGGGAAGAAGUCUUCUUCACACUCCAAAGGGAAGGAGAAGAAAUCCUCUUCUCACCACAAAGAGAAGAAGGAGAAAUCUUCUUCCCACAAGCCGCAUCGGAGUGGGGACAAGAAGAAGAGGAUGAGGAAGGUGGUCUACUACGAGACCGAUUCUUCAUCAACAUCCACCUCCGGCUCCGACGCGGCAUCCGUCACUUCUAAGCGCCAAGAGCACAAGAAGUAUAGUAAUAUUCCCCUACGCUACCCUCGCAUUUCUAAACAUACACCUUUACUUUCCGUCCCAUUAGGCAAACCACCAACUUUUGAUGGUGAAGAUUACGCUAGGUGGAGUGAUUUAAUGCGAUUUCAUCUAACCUCGCUCCACAAAAGUAUAUGGGAUGUUGUAGAGUUUGGUGCACAGGUACCAUCCGUAGGGGAUGAAGAUUAUGAUGAGGAUGAGGUGGCCCAAAUCGAGCACUUCAACUCCCAAGCCACAACCAUACUCCUCGGCUCUCUAAGUAGAGAGGAAUAUAACAAGGUGCAAGGGUUGAAGAGUGCGAAAGAGAUUUGGGACCUACUCAAGACCGCGCACGAGGGUGAUGAACUCACCAAGAUCACCAAGCGGGAAACGAUCGAGGGGGAGCUCGGUCGCUUCCGUCUUCGCCAAGGGGAGGAGCCACAAGAUAUGUACAACAGGCUCAAAACCUUGGUGAACCAAGUGCGCAACCUCGGGAGCAAGAAGUGGGACGACCACGAGGUGGUUAAGGUUAUUCUAAGAUCUCUCAUUUUCCUUAACCCCACUCAAGUUCAAUUAAUUCGUGGUAAUCCUAGAUACACACUAAUGACUCCCGAGGAAGUAAUCGGGAAUUUUGUGAGCUUUGAGUAUAUGAUCAAGGGCUCGAAGAAAAUCAACGAGCUAGAUGAUCCCUCCACAUCCGCGGCACAACCGGUCGCAUUUAAGGCGACGGAGGAGGAGAAGGAAGAGUCUACACCGAGUAGACAACCAAUCGACGCCUCAAAGCUCGACAAUGAGGAAAUGGCGCUCGUCAUCAAGAGCUUCCGCCAAAUCCUCAAACAAAGGAGGGGAAGAACUACAAACCCCGCUCCAAGAAAGUGUGCUACAAAUGUGGUAAGCCCGGUCAUUUUAUUGCAAAAUGUCCUAUAUCUAGUGACAGUGACAGGGGCGACGACAAGAAGGGAAAGAGGAGAGAAAAGAAGAGGUACUACAAGAAGAAGGGCGGCGAUGCCCAUGUUUGUCGGGAGUGGGACUCCGACGAGAGCUCCACCGAGUCCUCCUUCGACGAGGACGCCGCCAACAUCGCCGUCACCAAGGGACUUCUCUUCCCCAACGUCGGCCACAAGUGCCUCAUGGCAAAGGACGGCAAAAGGAAGAAGGUUAAAUCCAAAUCCUCCACUAAAUAUGAGUCUUCUAGUGAUGAUAAUGCUAGUGAUGAGGAGGAUAACUUACGUACCCUUUUUGCCAACCUUAACAUGGAACAAAAGGAAAAAUUAAAUGAAUUGAUUAGUGCUAUUCAUGAAAAGGAUGACCUUUUGGAUUCCCAAGAGGAUUUUCUAAUUAAAGAAAACAAGAAACAUGUUAAGGUUAAAAAUGCUUAUGCUCUAGAAGUAGAAAAAUGUCAAAAACUAUCUAGUGAGCUAAGCACUUGCCAUGACACUAUCACCAACCUUAGAAAUGAAAAUGCGAAAUUAAUUGCUAAGGUUGAUUCCCAUGUUUGUAAUGCUUCAAUUCCCAAUCUUAGAGAUGAUAAUUUGCUUGCUAAGAUUGAUGAGUUGAAUAUAUCUCUUGCUAGCCUUAGGAUUGAAAAUGAGAAAUUAAUUGCUAAGGCUAAAGAUUUUGAUGUUUGUAAUACUACUAUUUCCGACCUUAGAACUAAGAAUGAUAUGUUGCAUGCUAAGGUUGUAGAAUUAAAAUCUUGCAAACCCUCUACAUCUACCAUUGAGCACACUUCUAUUUGUACUAGAUGUAGAGAUGUUGAUAUCAAUGCUAUUCAUGAUCACAUGGCUUUAAUUAAACAACAAAAUGAUCAUAUAGCAAAAUUAGAUGCUAAAAUUGCCGAGCAUAACUUAGAAAAUGAAAAGUUUAAAUUUGCUAGAAGUAUGCUCUAUAAUGGGAGACGCCCUGGCAUCAAGGAUGGCAUUGGCUACCAAAGGGGAGACAAUGUCAAACUUAGUGCCCCUCCUAAAAGAUUGUCUAAUUUUGUUAAGGGCAAGGCUCUCAUGCCUCAGGAUAACGAGGGUUACAUUUUGUACCCUGCCGGUUAUCCCGAGAGCAAAAUUAGGAGAAUUCAUUCUAGGAAGUCUCACUCUGGCCCUAAUCAUGCAUUUAUGUAUAAGGGUGAGACAUCUAGCUCUAGGCAACCAACCCGUGCUAAGUUGCCUAAGAAGAAAACUCCUAAUGCAUCAAAUGAUCAUGACAUUUCAUUCAAAACCUUUGAUGCAUCAUAUGUGCUUACUAACAAAUCCGGCAAGGUAGUUGCCAAGUUUGUUGGGGCAAACACAAGGGCUCCAAAACUUGUGUUUGGGUACCCAAAGUUCUUGUUUCUAAUGCCAAAGGACCCAAAACCGUUUGGGUACCUAAAGUCAAGAACUAAACUUGUUUUGUAGGUUUAUGCAUCCGGUGGCUCAAGUUGGAUCAUUGACAGCGGGUGCACAAACCACAUGACAGGGGAGAAGAAGAUGUUCUCCUCAUAUGAGAAAAACCAAGAUCCCCAACGAGCUAUCACAUUCGGGGAUGGAAAUCAAGGUUUGGUCAAAGGAUUGGGUAAGAUUGCUAUAUCACCUGACCAUACUAUUUCCAAUGUUUUUCUUGUAGAUGCUUUAGAUUACAAUUUGCUUUAUGUAUCUCAAUUAUGUCAAAUGGGCUACAACUGUCUCUUUACUGAUGUAGGUGUCACUGUCUUUAGAAGAAGUGAUGAUUCAAUAGCAUUUAAGGGUGUGUUAGAGGGUCAGCUAUACUUGGUAGAUUUUGAUAGAGCUGAACUCGACACAUGCUUAAUUGCUAAGACGAACAUGGGUUGGCUCUGGCAUCGCCGACUAGCCCACGUUGGGAUGAAGAAUCUUCAUAAGCUUCUAAAGGGAGAGCACAUUUUAGGAUUAACCAAUGUUCAUUUUGAGAAAGACAGGGUUUGUAGCGCAUGCCAAGCAGGAAAGCAAGUUGGCACUCAUCAUCCACACAAAAACAUCAUGACAAGUGACAGGCCACUGGAGCUCCUACACAUGGACCUAUUCGGCCCGAUCGCUUACAUAAGCAUCGGCGGGAGUAAGUACUGUCUAGUUAUUGUGGAUGAUUAUUCUCGCUUCACUUGGGUGUUCUUUUUGCAGGAAAAAUCCCAUACCCAAGAGACCUUAAAGGGAUUCUUGAGACGGGCUCAAAAUGAGUUCGGCUUAAGGAUCAAGAAAAUUAGAAGCGACAAUGGGACGGAGUUCAAGAACUCACAAAUAGAAGGCUUCCUUGAGGAGGAGGGCAUCAAGCAUGAGUUCUCCUCUCCCUACACACCACAACAAAAUGGUGUAGUGGAGAGGAAGAAUUGAACUCUAUUGGACAUGGCAAGAACCAUGCUUGAUGAGUACAAGACACCGGAUCGGUUUUGGGCUGAGGCGGUCAACACCGCUUGCUACGCCAUCAACCGGUUAUAUCUACACCGAAUCCUCAAGAAGACAUCCUAUGAACUCCUAACCGGUAAAAAGCCCAAUAUUUCAUAUUUUAGAGUCUUUGGUAGCAAAUGCUUUAUUCUUGUUAAAAGAGGUAGAAAAUCAAAAUUUGCUCCUAAGACUGUAGAAGGCUUUUUACUAGGAUAUGAUUCAAACACAAGGGCAUAUAGAGUCUUUAACAAGUCCUCAGGACUAGUUGAAGUUUCUUGUGACGUUGUGUUUGAUGAGACUAAUGGCUCUCAAGUAGAGCAAGUUGAUCUUGAUAAGAUAGGUGAAGAACAGGCUCCGUGCAUCGCGCUAAGGAACAUGUCCAUUGGUGAUGUGUGUCCUAAGGAAUCCGAAGAGCCUCCACAUGCACAAGAUCAACCAUCCUCCUCCACGCAAGCAUCUCCACCAACCCAAAAUGAGGACGAGGCUCAAGUUGAUAAAGAGGAAGAACAAAAUGAUGAGCCACCUCAAAAUGACGGCAAUGAUCAAGGGGGAGAUGCAAAUGAUGAAGACAAGGAGGAUGAAGAACCAAGGCCGCCACACCCAAGAGUCCAUCAAGCAAUCCAACGAGAUCACCCCGUCGACACCAUCCUCGGCGACAUUCAUAAGGGGGUAACCACUAGAUCUCGUGUUGCACAUUUUUGUGAACAUUACUCUUUUGUUUCCUCUAUUGAGCCACACAGGGUAGAGGAAGCACUUCAAGAUUCGGAUUGGGUGAUGGCGAUGCAAGAGGAGCUCAACAAUUUCACUAGGAAUGAGGUAUGGCAUUUAGUUCCACGUCCUAAUCAAAAUGUUGUAGGAACCAAGCAAGAUGAGCAUGGUGUGGUGACAAGGAACAAAGCUCGACUUGUGGCCAAGGGAUACUCCCAAGUCGAAGGUUUGGAUUUUGGUGAAACCUAUGCACCCGUAGCUAGGCUUGAGUCAAUUCGUAUAUUAUUAGCCUAUGCUACUUACCAUGGCUUCAAGCUUUAUCAAAUGGACGUGAAGAGUGCCUUCCUCAAUGGACCAAUCAAGGAAGAGGUCUAUGUUGAGCAACCUCCCGGCUUUGAAGACAGUGAGUACCCUAACCAUGUUUAUAGGCUCUCUAAGGCGCUUUAUGGGCUCAAGCAAGCCCCAAGAGCAUGGUAUGAAUGCCUAAGAGAUUUCCUUAUAGCUAAUGGCUUCAAAGUCGGCAAAGCCGGUCCUACUUUAUUCACUAAAACUCUUGACAAUGAUUUGUUUGUAUGCCAAAUUUAUGUUGAUGAUAUUAUAUUUGGGUCUACUAACGAAUCUACAUGUGAAGAAUUUAGUAGGAUCAUGACACAGAAAUUCGAGAUGUCUAUGAUGGGGGAGUUGAAGUAUUUUCUAGGAUUCUAAGUCAAGCAACUCCAAGAAGGCACCUUCAUUAGCCAAACAAAGUAUACUCAAGACAUUCUAACCAAGUUUGGAAUGAAGGAUGCCAAGCCCAUCAAGACACCCAUGGGAACCAAUGGGCAUCUCGACCUCGACACGGGAGGUAAAUCCGUCGAUCAAAAGGUAUACUGGUCGAUGAUUGGUUCAUUACUUUAUUUAUGUGCAUCUCGACCGGACAUUAUGCUUUCCGUUUGCAUGUGUGCAAGAUUUCAAGCCGACCCUAAGGAAUCACACCUUACGGCCGUAAAACGAAUCUUGAGAUAUUUGGCUUAUACUCCUAAGUUUGGGCUUUGGUACCCUCGGGGAUCCACAUUUGAUUUGAUUGGUUAUUCGGAUGCCGAUUGGGCGGGGUGUAAGAUUAAUAGAAAGAGCACAUCGGGGACUUGCCAGUUCUUGGGAAGAUCCUUGGUGUCUUGGGCUUCAAAGAAGCAAAAUUCGGUCGCUCUUUCUAUCGCUGAAGCCGAGUACAUUGCCGCAGGCCAUUGUUGCGCGCAAUUGCUUUGGAUGAGGCAAACCCUGCGGGACUAUGGUUACAAAUUAACCAAAGUUCCUCUUCUAUGUGAUAAUGAGAGUGCAAUCCGCAUGGCGGAUAAUCCCGUUGAGCAUAGCCACACUAAACACAUAGCUAUUCGGUAUCAUUUUCUUAGGGAUCACCAACAAAAGGGGGAUAUUGAGAUUGCAUACAUUACCACUAAAGAUCAAUUAGCCGAUAUCCUUACCAAGCCUCUUGAUGAACAAACUUUUACCAAACUUAGGCAUGAGCUCAAUAUUCUUGAUUCUAGGAAUUUCUUUUGCUAAUUUUCACAUAUAGCUUAUAAGUAUACCUUUGAUCAUGUCUCUUUUAUAUAUGCUAUGACUAAUGUGUUUUCAAGUGUAUUUCAAACCAAGUCAUAGGUAUAUUGAAAGGGAAUUGGAGUCUUCGACGAAGACAAAGGCUUCCACUCCACUCCACAACUCAUCCUUCGCCGUCACUCUGAGCAUCUCUCCAACUUUGGUAUAAUCUUCACUCAUUUAUUUUAUGACCAAAGGAGGAGAAAGUACUUCGAAGGGCUCUAAUGAUUCCGUUUUUGGCGAUUCAUGCCAAAGGGGGAGAAAAUAUGAGCCAAAAGCAAAAGGACCGCACCACCACCUAAUUUUAAAAUAGAGAUUUUCAAAUUGGUAAAUUUCAAAUUAGUAUCUUAGUGUGUUCAAAAGGGGGAGAAAGUAGUAUUUCAAAAUGGAUAUAUCAAAACCCUCUUGAACACUAAGAGGAGGAUCUCAUUUAGGGGGAGUUUUGUUUUAGUCAAAGGAAAAGCAUUUGAAACAGGGGAGAAAAUUUCAAAUCUUGAAAAUGCUUCACAAAAUCUUAUUCAUUUACCUUUGACUAUUUGCAAAAGAACUUUGAAAAGGAUUUACAAAAGAAUUUGCAAAAACAAAACAUGUGGUGCAAACGUGGUCCAAAAUGUUAAAAAUGAAGAAACAAUCCAUGCAUAUCUUGUAAGUAUUUAGAUUGGCUCAAUUCCGAGCAACCUUUGCACUUACAUUAUGCAAACUAGUUCAAUUAUGCACUUCUAUAUUUGCUUUGGUUUGUGUUGGCAUCAAUCACCAAAAAGGGAGAGAUUGAAAGGGAAUUAGGCUUACACCUAUUUCCUAAAUAAUUUUGGUGGUUGAAUUGCCCAACACAAAUAAUUGGACUAACUAGUUUGCUCCAGUGUAUAAGUUAUACAGGUGCCAAAGGUUCACAACAAGCCAAUUAAAAAGACCAAAGUUGGGUUCUAAAUAGAGAGCUAAAGGCAUCCCGAAAGGCUCCCUGGUCUGGCGCACCGGACUGUCCGGUGUGCCACCGGACAGUGUCCGGUGCACCAGGGGACUUCACGUUGAACUCCUCAGCCUCGGGAUUUCUCAGAGCCGGCGCGCUAUAAAUCACCGGACUAUCCGGUGUACACCGGACAGUGUCCGGUGCUCCAAGAAGACGCGGCUCCGGAACUUGGUAGCCUCGGAAAUUUGCAACGGCUGCUCCGCUAUAAUUCAUCGUACAUGUCCGGUGUACACCGGACUGUCCGGUGUAACUGCGGAGCAACGGCUACUUUGCGCCAACGGUCACCUGCAGGCGCAUUUAAUGCGCGCCAGAAGCGCGCAGAAGUCAGGCACGCGCGCGACGGCGCACCGGACACUCUACAGUACAUGUCCGGUGCGCCACCGUACAUCCAGGCGGGCCCAGAAGACAGAGCUCCAACGGUCGGACCCAACGGCUCUUGGUGACGUGGCUGUCGCACCGGACAUGUCCGGUGUACACCGGACUGUCCGGUGCACCAUUCGACAGAAAGCCCCACCAAACGGCUAGUUUGGUGGUUGGGGCUAUCAAUACCCCAACCACCCACCAUUCAUUGCAUCCAAGUUUUCCCACUUCAACUACUUACAAGAGCUCUAGCAUUCAAUUCUAGACACGCCAAAGUGAUCAAAUCCUCUCCAAACUCCACACAACGCCCUAGUGAUUAGUGAGAGAGAUUUGAUUGUGUUCUUUCGAGCUCUUGCGCUUGGAUUGCUUUCUUCCUUCUUUGAUUCUUCAUUGCGAUCAAACUCACUUGUAAUUGAGGCAAGAGACACCAAUCUUGUGGUGGUCCUUGUGGGAACUUUGUGUUCUAAGUGAUUGAGUAGAAAAGCUCACUCGGUCCGAGGGACUGUUUGAGAGAGGGUAAGGGUUGAAAGAGACCCGGCCUUUGUGGCCUCCUCAACGGGGAGUAGGUUUGCAAGAACCGAACCUCGGUAAAACAAAUCCGCGUGUCACACUCUUCAUUUGCUUGCGAUUUGUUUUACGCCCUCUCUCUCGGACUCAUUAUUAUUUCUAACGCUAACCCGGCUUGUAGUUGUGAUUAAUUGUGUAAAUUUCAGUUUUGCCCUAUUCACCCCCCUCUAGGCGACUUUCACUCAGUCCCAGCCAUAUUAUGGUAAUGCCGAUGAACUCAUAUCCGGGGAAAAUGUUGUCACCAUCCUCACUGCAUGGUAGAUCGGCUCUGGGCACGGUCGAACAGUCCGCGUACGAUCAUGGACCGUCCGGCCCUCCAACGGACUAUCCGACACCUUACGCCGGACAGUCCGGGGUAGCACCGAGCCUGCCACAAGUCUCACAGGUAAAGCCCUGUACGAUCGGACGAUCCGGAUACAAUACCAGAUCGUCUUGUCCCUCUUCGGACUACCCGAUCACCAAGAUCGGACUAUCCGGGUGUGCAUACAUAGACUAGGGCACUGCACGUCAAACACAAUCUUCAUGCUCCACCCCACCUGCAGCGCACCAUAGUCACAACAUGCCAGCACCCGUGCAUGAGGCUGAAUGCCUUUCAGCUCCUACAAAGCCAAAAAAAUACAGGUCCCUGAGCUUGUUUGGCCUACUAAGGCCAAAUCUUCUGCUCGCUCUCCCCUGCAUUCGGCACAAAAAGGGAAAGUUAAGUUCACAUUUAAUGUUGCUAAGUGUGAUAAAACAUUUGAUGAGCUACUGAAGAAUGGCAACACUAAAUUGUCACACACAAUUCCUUCGAUAGAGGAAUUGAAAAAGUGUGUAUAUUGUAAAUGGCAUGGUUCCUUUCUUUAUAACACCAAUGAUUGUAAUAUUUUCCAUCGACAAAUACAAUCAACUGUAGAUGAAGGCUGAUUGAGAUUUCAAGAAAUGAAGAUUGACAGACAAUAUGUCCCUGUUGACACAUUAGGACUGGUGGACAAGAAAGUCUUGGUUCGGCCAUGUCUGAUAAAGGCAAAGGAAAAAAUAUUAUUGUUGGUGACCCUCGCAUGCCAAAUCUAUCACGCGGGUGGUUACUCGGAAGGCUCCAAACAAAAGAAAGGCUAAUAGGAUCGGAGGCACCAGGGGUCAUGGUGAACCAUGUAUGCCCAAAUGUAAAUGUUCUGCAGGUGAAGAUCAUGAUAAACAAAAGGGUAAAAGGUCGAAGGUUACUUUUGAGCAACUUCUGGCUAAAUAUCACAAGCAAAUCUGGGCAAAUGAUGUUGAUCAAACUAGCAAUGCUAAGUCAUCUAGAGCACCUUUGAAGACAUCAAAAUCACCUUCGAAGCAUAAAUCUAGAGAUCAGGAUUGGCGAGGAGAAGAGUUUCAUACAUCAGCAACAUAUCCUCCUUUUGGGUCGCCAAUACCAAUGCAAUAUCGUUCAGGUCCUUGGUACUUUCAUCCUUAUCCAUCUUGGGGCUGGUAUGAUUUAAAUGCUUAUUCUUCUUCAUAUUUUAGACCACAUAACAUAGAAUACUCAGCUCAUUUCAAUUCUGAUUUUGAGGAAUGAUCAUAUGAAAAUGGUCGUUUUAUUUCUAAGAAUCGGUCUAGAGCUCAAAAUAAGAAUCAAAUGGUCAAGCAAGUUUAUGUAGUGAAGAAGGAUAAUAGAAAAGCCAAAAGUUUAGAUCUGAAUUCAUGCAUUACAAAGUUGGAGGAAGUGUUAGAUACUUUGUCUAGCAGUGCCCAAACAAUAGAGAAAUUAGCUAGCGAUAGUCUAGGUACCAAAUCUGAACUUAACAAGCCUAAUGUGCCUAAACAACCGAGAAGCCCACUCAGAUUAUAAAUCUGGCACAAGAGGCUAGAAAAACUCGGUGCAUAAGAGUUGAAGAAGAGAGGCAUGACAUGGCCCCCUAAUGGGGGUUCUCAAAAUCCAGGUAAGGAUGAUGCUUUUGGAAGAAGUGGAGUAAUGGCAAACAAAAGGAAGAAAGCAUGUACAAGACGUUUGGGUGAAAGGUUUGCCCCAACUCAACAAAUCUAUUGGUCAUUGCAUCGUCCAUAUUUUUCAACUGUGACAUAUACGUCGUCCCAAGGUAUGUUCGGUUAUCCUUCAUGGCAUCAUUUUGCUCCAUAUAUGUCUUUAUAUUAUGGAGGAGUGCAACCGAAUUUUAUGCAUAUGGAUAGUUGCGAUAUGUUGUUGUUUACAUGAAGCCGAAGUAUUUUAGUUGUUGGUAGUAAUGAUUCUUGCUACAAUUUGCUUCGGUCAUAUUUAUUCAUGGGAUAAACAUGCUUAUAAUAUUUGCUUAUCACUAUUCGGUUAUUGUUUAAGUGUAAACUACAUAAUUAGUAUUGUUGAAUAGUUUCAAGUAAAUGGUUCAUUUAUUAGUACAACCAAUACUCGAACUUAUGCAUCAUUGAGUUGGCUAUUAUGUGCUUCUCCCAUGUGAGCAAAUUCUAUAGUUUAAUGAACAUCAUUGGCCUCAAUGGCUGAUAUGGCUAAUGAAUCCUUUCUCAUCAUCAUGCUAAACUUGUAUCCCCAUCCAAAAGGUAGGUCGAGCACUCGGGGCAAGCACGAUUGGAUACCCGAUCAUGGUCAUCUAUCCUCCAUACGCCAGAUGGUCCGGGUACUAAGUCCAGACAGUCUGGGGCAGGCGCGGACAGUCUGGCCAUGAAGGGCGGAUGGUCCGAGGACAACAAGAAGCAACAGUGAUCGCAGACCGUCAGAUCACAAUGUCCUAACAUAGGUACUAGGAAGCAAAACAAUUCCAGGAUGCUUGGCCGACCCAGUAGAGUCGGCCCUACUUUUGAUUAGUUGCUUACUAAAAAUAUGAAGGUCUUUCCACACGACCAACCACUAAAACAAUCAGAAUCAAAAAGGCAGUCUGUGCAAAGAAGUGGCCGACUAAACCGUCCCAAAAAGCGGUACAACCAAGAUCGCCUGGCCAUCCUCCUCUUGGGUUGUCAUGGUGCUUUCCAGUCUAUUCAUUGCCGAUGUGUUGUCGUACUCAACUGUGUGGUGGUACGACGAUGAAUCCGUAUUACUAGCCAAAUCUGUGUUGCUUAUUUGGGCAUGGGGGCACCACAAGUUUUUGCCUAUUGACAUGUUGAUCUGGCAGACAUGGUCAAAGAAGAUGCGAUCCAAAAUGGCCUCUAUGCAUCAAAUAUUUACAUUAUCUGAUCACAAGAGCCGAUGACUUGCACCGAGAUGAGUCCUUACUUCGGGUACAAAAUAACUCAUGAGAUCUAUUAUUUCUGAAGUGUGCUGGUGCUUUUGCUUCGCUAAGAUCCACAAAAAGGUAGGGGGCAUGUGUUGAACACCAAAAGUGGCGGACGGUCCGGCCCUAGCACUCGGACAGUCCUCGUCCCCGCGAUCAGAUUAACUCCGGCGAUUAUCCUUAUCCCGUGUAUGGUUAUCCAUCUAAUCAUGUGGGAUUUGUUAGCUAUCGCCUAGGAAUGGGUUCAGACGAUCGAUUAAGAACCCCUCAAACACAUUCCAAUUGAACCUAUCGGCUUUAUUUACUUUUCUUGCCCUAGGAGUAGAUGUAACGUAGCUUUAGUUGUAGUCUUCCGUAUAUCCACCUCCACCCAUAUUUGACUCUACGUCGUUUAGAUCCGUCCUAGGGUGACAUGCAGACCCUAGGAUGACCCUAGGAUCUUACCCCUUCUAAGGGGCAAGAUCUACUUCGUCUACUUCACUCAAGAUCUCUUCUUUGAAUUAAUCUCUUAAUUUCUAGGCGACCCUACGUCGUCUGGAGAUGCCCCAGGUGACCUGCUGACUCGGAGCACCCUAAGGCAUUUUCCCUAGGGGCAGAUCUAGGUCCUACAAGGAGAAGAAGAUGACCCUACGCCAGCGCGGACCAUUCAGACAAAGCACAGGGAAGGCGCCGCUCCUGUCGACAGGUCGUGGACCAUCUAGCCCAGAGCCGCGGACCGUCCGUGUCGUCGCAGCGAGCACUGCUAGGUGACUCGGCGACCCGUCGUAGACUGCCGCCACCAUUCACCUCACGGAGCCAAACCUAAGGUAUUACUAAUCACGAGAAGGCUCUAGGGUUCAUUGUUGUUUGGUCUCAAAUAGGUGGUGGUCAUCAUAGAGGUGACUCAGUGCUCUAAAAAUCUUCAACUUUAUUCAAAUAUACAUCAUUAUAGCGUUUGGUGACUAAAUCAGCGCCAACAAAGGCCUUAUAUGGUUUAGAGCUAGGCUAAAUUGUUUUUUCAGUUCGGAACUGUGUUCACUUGAAAGGUAGUACGAACAACAAGCGUAGAAAAAUAGAUUUGUUAUGCAUCGGCAUAUAUAUCACAUUCAAUUAAGAUAACAUAUAUAAAUAACAAAUCAUAGAUCUACAAUAAUAAUCUGAAUAUCUGCUGUGGACACCUGACUCUUAUAGACUAAUGGACGGAAAUUAGUUAAUUUUCGUAGACAUGUGACAAAAAAUUGUAAUUUUGCCGUACUGAUAAAACUUAGCCUAUGCCCUAUGCAACUAUAAAUUAAUUGUUUCCAUCCAUUAACACGUAGUUGAAUCAUUUAGUCAUUCCAGGGUAGGUGAUCAUCUCACACAUAUAUAUAGACAAACACAAAGCACUAUUCAUCAUCUGAGUGACGGACAAAAAAGAUCCAUCACCUGAACAAGCCUAUCAACACUAAUUAACCCAACCUAGAUUAGUCAAACCGUCGCAUGCCCAUACAUGGCCAUACAUCGCUCGGCCAAGCUCGCUAAUUGCGCCUUCACUAAUCGCGCUUCUGCUGGUAAUUCCAUCCGCCACGCCGACCAAUCCACCGUCAUGCCAUUUUCCGUCGCCCUCGAUGUCUGCAAUGAUUGAAAUAACCCUUGAAUGGCUAAAUAUUUGUUGUUGUUUUAUGUUAAUGUAAACCUUGAAUGAUUGAAGUAACUCUUCAAUAAUGGUUGAAUAUUUGUUCCUGUUAUACAUUGAAGCAAACCUUUAAUGGCUAAAGUAAACCUUGAAUGGCUGAAGCAAACCUCGAAUAGUGAAAAAAAACCUUAAAACCUAGAAUGGCUAAAUGUUUGUCCUACUGUAUGGAAGUAAACAUUGAAUUGCUGAAGUAAACCUUGAACGAUUGAACAAAACCUUGAAUGUCUGAAACUAAACCUUGAAUGACUGAAAUAUUUGGUGUUGCACAUUAAGAGCGACGAAUGGGUCAGUCCCGUCAAGAACCAGAGAGGGAUUAGAAGAAGAUAAGUGCAUAUCAGAGAGGGAUCGGGUGGUAGCCCUAACUCAAAUGCCCAACUUAACAGAAAAAGGGGUUCGGGUUAGGUAACCCUAAUCCUACAUCCCUAAAUUUAGACGAAACAGAUGAACAGUAAAGGGAUUCAGGUUAGAUCAAUCUUGUUAGAAAUAUGUCCCAGAGAUAAUCAUAGAGAUGAGCAUAUUUCAUUGUAUCCAUAAUAUAUUGUUUUAAAUGGAAUAUCCAUGAAAGGCACCUUGUACUGAUUAGCAAUUUUGUGAAAUGUUUGCGACUCUUUACUUGUAUGGUUAUUCUAUAUGAUGUCUCUAGUCAGAGUCGAUGACUAGCACAUGGAUUAGUUGAUGAUUGUGUUUCAAAAGUCAUGGACAUGGAGAUGUAAAACUAAUAAUGUGGGCGCAUGUAUGACAUGAGGUUGGACAGACCCAACGUGAGAUUUUGUAUCAUAGUUCUCUUUUUUCAACAUGUACGAUGUGUCCUUAAAACUGAGAUUGUUGCAUGUACUCAAGAUGUAAAUUGACCAACUUAGAGACUAUCAAACGCUACUCCGUAACUAGGUAGUUAUAAAGGUAGUUUUGAGUUUAUCAGGAAGCAUAUUGUGAGGCAUGGUCAGUUAAGAUGGAAAUUGUCCUUCUCUUGAGCAUAUCAGAACCCAAUAGAUGCUAGCGGAUCUGCUCACAAAAGGCCUUCCACCCAACAUGUUUAUAGACACCACAUAGCCGACAUGGAACUAAGGAAGAGCUUAUGAUCCUGGAUCUAAGGGGCUAAAGAAACAACCAUAGAAAAGAUAAUUCAUUUUGAGGUAGGAGAGCAUGUUAUAGUCAAGAGUCCAGUGAUGCUUUAUCAGUCACCAUCACCCAUUGGUCUUGAUGUGUAAACUUGCCAAGGAGUGGAACUAAGAAAAGUUAAAAAAACAAGAACCAGUGAACAAAGGAGAGAAUGUUAGUAUGUUUUCUGGCCCGCAACAGAAACAAGACAGAUAGGCAUUAUCUUCCCAAAUGUGUACAUAUUCUAAUGCACCCUAAUCAAGUACGAGAUCUGUUCCUAUCGUUUGUGGCCCUUGGUCAUGGUGGACACUAUAUAAAGGAGGUAUAGGCUAGCAUGAACGUUGUUGGGGGCCUUCCUCUUCCGAAGGUCCUCAAAAACAUGACUAACCAUCUGCUUUUAGUAUAACAUAAAUUGCUACAGGGAGCUUCGGCUUUAGGAUGGAGGUUUGCUCCCAUGGCAAAGGUAUACAAGACGAAGGUAUAUAGCCUGAAGAUGAUAAGAAUGAACGCUGAAGCUAUAGCUGAAGAGUAACAACUUUGGCUUAAAGUGAUGAUGAAGACCAAACUUGAUGUUGAUCCGAAGAGAAAAAGACUAGCUUGUCCCUAAUGAUUUAUGUUAUAGUUAUGAGUAAAUGUUGAGGACAUAAAUGUAAUUUUACUCGGGCUACGUCCCAUGCCUAUGAAUAGAUGAACAGUAGAACCAUAUUGUUCAUGCAGAAUUGUAAUCGCUCUCUAAAAGGGAAAUAGGGUUAACCUUUUUCCGCAAUUAGUUUUGGUGGUUGAAUGCCCAACACAAACAAAUGGACUAACUAGUUUGCUCUAGAAUACAUGUUUUACAGGUGCAUAACGGUUCAACAAAAACCAAUAAAUAUUCAAGUUAGGGGUUCAAUUCAAAGGAGCAAAUAAAACCAGACUAUCCGGUGUGCCACCGGACAGUGUCCGGUGCACCAGGACCAUACACGUUUGAACCAGUCGCUCUCAGGUUUCUUCAGGCGCACGCCGCUAUAAUUCAUCGGACUGUCUGGUGUGCCACCAAACUGUUCAGUGUACCAGCGAAACAACGGCUAUCCAGCGCAAUGGUCGAUUACAAAGGCGCGGUGAUCAGAGCUACAGUGAAGAACAGUGCGUGCAGAGUCAGAACCGUAGGUCAGAGGCGCACUGGACAGUGAAUAGUGCAUGUCCGGUGCGGCAGCGGACUGCCUGGUGCCACUAGAGGACAAAGCCUCCAACGGUCAAAUGCUCCAGAACCCUAACAGUUGAGUGACGUGGCUGGCACACCGGACAGUGUCCGGUGCGCCCAUCGACAGAAGCCUGCCCCAACGGUUGUUUGGUGGUUGAGGCCUAUAAAUACCCCCAACCACCACCACUCCAAGCAUCCAAGUUUCCAGCAAUUCACAUUCAAUACAAGAGCUAGUGCAUUCACUCCAAGACACAUUUCCAAAAGAUCAAAGCCUCUCCAAGUCUAGAAUUCAUUCCAACCACCUAGUGACUUGAGAGAGAGUGUGUGUUCGUGUUUCUUUGCGCUCUUGUUGCUUCGAUCGCUUUCUUCCUUCCUCAUUCUUGUUCCCAAGUGUUUUGUAAGCAAGGCAAGAGACACCAAUAGUGUGGUGGUCCUUGCGGGGUCGAAGUGACCCGUGAGAAUUAAGGAGAAAGCUCACUCAGUCUAAGUGACCGUUUGAGAGAGGGAAAGGGUUGAAAGAGACCCGGUCUUUGUGACCACCUCAACGGGGACUAGGUUCUUUAGAACUAAACCUCGGUAAAACAAAUCACCGUGUUCACUCGCUUUAUUUCUUGGUUGAUUUGUUUUCCCUCUCUCCCGGACUCAGAUUAAUUCUAACACUAACCCCGGCUUGUAGUUUGUGUUUUAAGUUAUAAAUUUUAGAUUACGCCUAUUCACCUCCCUCUAGGUGACUUUCAAUUGGUAUCAGAGCAUGGUACUUCAUUAGAGUUUAACAACUUGAAGUGAUGUCGAGAGAUCACGCAAAGAGGGAGAUCGUGCCCGGCGACAAACCCGCAAGCUCGGGGAGGACUCUCUCAAGGGAGUCCGGCAACAAGCACAAGGAGGAAUCCUCUUCCUCCAUCAAGUCCCAUCUGAAAGGCGAUAAGAAAAAGAAGAUGAAGAAAGUGGUCUAUUACGAGACCGACUCAUCGUCGCCUUCCACAUCAAGCUCCGACUCGUUCGUCGCUUCUAAGCACCAUGAGCACAAGAAGUAUAGUAAGAUGCCCCUUCAAUAUCCCUGUAUUUCUAAGCGUGCUCCUCUACUUUCCGUUCCCUUAGGCAAACCACCAUAUUUUGAUGGUGAGGAUUAUUGUAUGUGGAGUGAUAAAAUGAGGCAUCAUCUAACCUCACUCCACGCAAGCAUUUGGGAUAUUGUUGAGUUUGGAGCGCAGGUACCUACGGUGGGGGACGAGGGCUACGACUCGGACGAGGUCACCCAAAUUAGGCACUUUAACUCCCAAGCCACAACUAUACUCCUUGCCUCCUUGUGUCGAGAGGAGUAUAAUAAGGUGCAAGGGUUAAAGAGCGCCAAGGAAAUUUGGGAUGUCCUUAAGACUGUGCAUGAAAGGAGAUGAGGUGACCAAGAUCACCAAGCGGGAGACGAUCGAGGGGGAGCUCGGUCGAUUCGUCCUCAACCAAAGAGAGGAGCCACAAGCAAUGUACAACCGGCUCAAAACCUUGGUCAAUCAAGUGCGCAACCUCGGGAGCACCAAGUGGGAUGACCAUGAGAUGGUCAAGGUUAUUCUAAGAUCCCUUGUUUUCCGUAAUCCUACUCAAGUUCAAUUAAUUCGUGGGGGUCUUAGGUACAAAUUAAUGUCUCCCGAGGAAGUGAUAGGAAAGUUUGUGAGCUUUGAGCUAAUGAUCAAAGACUCUAAACACAUUGUCAACUUGGAGCAUGGCGCCACCUCCACACCCGAGGUGCAACCCGUCGCAUUCAAAGCGACAGAAGAGAAGAAAGAGGAGUCUACAUCAAGUAGGCUUCCCAUCGACGCCUCCAAGCUCGAUAACGAGGAAAUCGCGCUCAUCAUCAAGAGCUUCCACCAAGUCCUCAAGCAAAGGAGGGGGAAGGAUCACAAACCCUGCUCUAAAAGGGUGUGCUACAAGUGUGGUAAGCCCGAUCAUUUUAUUGCUAAAUGUCCAAUGUCUAGUAAUAGUGACAGGGACGAGGACAAGAAGGAGAAGAAGAGAUACUACAAGAAGAAGGGCGGCGAUGCCCAUGUGUGUCGGGAAUGGGACUCCGACGAGAGCUCCACCGACUCCUCCUCCGACGAGGACACCGCCAACAUCGCCAUCAACAAGGACCUCCUCUUCCCCAACGUCGGCCACAAGUGCUUCAUGGCAAAGGAUAGCAAAAAGAAGAAGGUACAAUCUAGAACUACCCCCAAGUAUACUACAUCUAGUGAUGAGGGUAGUUCUAGUGAAGAUGAAGAUGAUUUGCUCACUCUUUUUGCCAACCUUAACAUGCAGCAAAAGGAAAAAUUAAAUGAAUUAAUAGGAGCUAUUCAUGAGAAGGAUGAACUCUUGGAUAGCCAAGAGGAAUUUCUUAUUAAAGAAAACAAGAAGCAUGUUAAAGUAAAAAAUGCUUAUGCUCAGGAGAUAGAAAAAUGUGAAAACUUGACUAAGGAGCUUAGCAUUUGUCAUGACAAUGUUUCCAACCUUAGAACUGAGAAUGCUAGUCUAAUUGCUAAGGUUGAAAAGUUAAAUGUUUGUAAUGAUUCAAUUAUCAGUCUUAGAAAUGAAAAUGCUAGUCUAAAUGCUAAGAUUGAUAAAUUGAAUGAUACAAUUUCUAGCCAUAGAUAUGAAAAUGCUAGAUUAAUUUCUAAGGUUAAAGAUUUAAAUGUUUGCAAUGACUAUUUCCAGUCUUAGAAAUGAGAAUGCUAUUUUACAUGCUAAGAUUGAGGAAUUAAAUUCAUGCAAACCUUCUACAUCUACUGCUGAGCAUGUUUCUAUUUGCACUAGAUGUAGAGAUGUAAAUGUAGAAGCUAUUAAUGAUCACAUUGCAAUGAUUAAAUAAUAAAAUGAUCAUAUAGCUAAAUUAGAUGCUAAAAUUAAUGAGCAUGAAUUUGAAAAUGAAAAGUUUAAAUUUGCUAGAAGCAUGCUCUAUAAUGGGAGACGCCCUGGCAUUAAGGAUGGCAUUGGUUUCUAACAGGGAAGCAAUGUCAAGCUCAAUGCCCCUAAAAAUUUUCUAAUUUUGUUAAGAGUAAGGCUCCCAUGGUUCAAGAUAAUGAGGGUUAUAUUUUAUAUCCUCCUAAUUAUCCUGAACACAAAAUUAGGAGAAUUCAUGCUAGGAAACCUCAUAAUAUUUCUCAUCAUGCUUUUAUGUAUAAGAAUGAGGCUUCUAGCUCUAGGCAUUCUACUCAUGUUAAAAUGUCUAAAAAGAAAACUCCUGCUGCAUCAAAUGAGCAUAAUGUUUCAUUUAAAACUUUUGAUGCAUCUUAUGUUUUAACUAACAAAUCAGGUAAAAAAGUUGCCAAAUAUGUUGAGGGCAAACACAAGGGUUCAAAGACUUGUGUUUGGGUACCCAAGGUGCUUGUUUCUAACAUGAAAGGACCCAAGACUGUUUGGGUACAUAAGAACAAGACCUAAAUUGUUUUGCAGGUUUAUGCAUCCGGGGGCUCAAGUUGGAUAAUUGAUAGCAGAUGCACAAACCACAUGAUAGGGGAGAAAAGAAUGUUUUCCUCCUACGAGAAAAACUAAGAUCCCCAACGAGCUCUCACAUUCAGGGAUGGAAAUCAAGGAUUGGUCAAAGGUUUUGGUAAAAUUGCUAUAUCACCUGACCAUUCUAUUUCUAAUGUCUUUCUUAUAGAUUCAUUAGAUUAUAACUUGCUUUCAAUUUCUCAAUUGUGCAAAAUGGGUUACAACUGUCUUUUUAGUAAUAUUGGUGUUACUGUCUUUAGAAGAAGUGAUCAUUCAAUAGCAUUUAAGGGAGUGUUAGAGGGUCAGCUAUAUUUAGUUGAUUUUAAUAAUAACAAAGCUGAACUCGACACUUGCUUAAUUGCUAAGACUAAUAUGGGCAGGCUCUGGCAUCGCCGACUUGCCCAUGUUGGGAUGAAGAAUCUUCACAAGCUUCUAAAGGGAGAGCACAUUUUAGGACUAACAAAUGUUCAUUCUGAGAAAAAUAGGAUUUGUAGCGCAUGCCAAGCAGGAAAGCAAGUUGGUGCUCAUCAUCCACACAAGAACAUCAUGACGACUGAUAGGCUGCUCGAGUUACUCCACAUGGAUUUAUUCGGCCCGGUCGCUUACAUAAGCAUCGGCGGGAGUAAGUACUGUCUAGUAAUUGUGGAUGAUUAUUGUCUCUUCACUUGGGUGUUCUUUUUGCAGGAAAAAUCACAGACCCAAGAGACCUUAAAAGGAUUCUUGAGAUGGGCUCAAAAUGAGUUCGGAUUGAGAAUAAAAAAGAUAAGAAGCGAUAAUGGGACGAAGUUCAAGAACUCACAAAUAGAAAGAUUUCUUGAGGAUGAGGGGAUCAAGCAUGAGUUCUCUUCUCCCUACACACCUCAACAAAAUGGUGUAGUGGAGAGGAAGAAUAGAACUCUACUGGACAUGGCAAGGACCAUGCUUGAUGAGUACAGUGGCGGAACCAAAGGGGGGGCAAAGUGGGCCAUGGCCCCCCUCAAUUUUGUACACUCUUUUAUACCUAAUAAUUAUUUAGUAUUAAGCGUAGAAAAAAAUCAAAGUUUUAGAUAGUAUAAAGUCAUGUUCUAAAUCUCUAAAACUAAUAGCUAGUUGCUAAAAUUAGUCGAGAGGUUUAAAAUGGAUCAACUAAUUGUUAGCUAUACCCCUCAAAUAAGUAUUUGUUGUUAGAUGCCCCAACCCAGCUAAAACCAGUUAACAGUUAGCUCUAGAGGUUUAGAACAUGGCCUAAAACAACCAUGUUAUGAGCUUGCUCGCUGGAUCCUCUCGGUCCAGUCCUUGCAUCUACCAGUUUGACUCUAAUCUUUCCGACACCACCUAAACCAGUCUGCUCGCUGUCCCGUUUCUGCCACCAACCCAUUCCCGAUGCGACGUCACCCGACUUCACCCCUUCCUAGCGCCUCCAUCCCUUGUCCUGUUUUUCUCGUAACGUCAAUCCGCUCGACAAGCUAGACCUUUGACGUCGCAACGAUAUGACUUAUCCCCUGCAGUCAGUGGACUUGGCGAACUAGAAAAUCAUAGCUUUCAUGUGGUCUUUUUGGCCCCCCGAAAUUUUCGUCCUGCGUCCGCCACUGGAUGAGUACAAGACACCGGACCGGUUUUGGGCUGAGGCGAUUACCACCGCCUGCUACUCCAUCAAUCGGUUAUAUCUUCACCGAAUCCUCAAGAAGACAUCAUACAAACUCGUUACCGGUAAAAAGCCUAAUGUUUCAUAUUUUAGAGUCUUUGGGAGUAAAUGCUUUAUUCUUGUUAAAAGAGGUAGAAAAUCUAAAUUUGCUCCUAAGGCUGUAGAAGGCUUUUUACUUGGCUAUGACUCAAACACAAGGGCAUAUAGAGUCUUUAACAAGUCCACUGGACUAGUUGAAGUUUCUUGUGACAUUAUGUUUGAUGAGACUAAUGGCUCCCAAGUGGGGCAAGUUGAUCUUGAUGAGCUAGAUGAUGAAGAGGCUCCAUGCGUCGCGCUAAGGAACAUGUCUAUUGGGGAUGUGAGCCUCCACAAGCACAAGAUCAACCGUCAUCUUCAAAUCAAGCAUCUCCACCAACUCAAGAUGAGGAACGGGUUCAAGGUGAUGAAGAAGAAGAUCAAGAGGAUGAGCCACCUCAAGAGGAGGGCAAUGAUCAAGGGGGAGAUGAUGAUAAUAAAGACAAGGAAGAUGAUCAAGAAAUACAAGAUCAAAGACCGCCACACCCAAGAGUCCACCAAGCAAUUCAACGAGAUCACCCCGUCAACUCCAUCCUUGGUGACAUUCAUAAGGGGGUAACCACUAGAUCUCGGGUUGCACAUUUUUGUGAACAUUACUCCUUUGUUUCCUCUAUUGAGCCUUACAGGGUAGAGGAUGCACUAAGAGAUUCAGAUUGAGUGGUGGCAAUGCAAGAGGAGCUCAACAACUUCACGAGGAAUGAGGUAUGGCAUUUCGUUCCAUGUCCUAAUCAAAAUGUUGUAGGUACCAAGUGGGUAUUCCACAAUAAGCAAGAUGAGCAUGGUGUGGUGAUAAGGAACAAAGCCUGACUUGUGGCCAAGGAUUAUUCACAAGUCGAAGGUUUGGAUUUCGAUGAAACUUAUGCACCCAUAGCUAGGCUUGAGCCAAUUCGCAUAUUACUUGCCUAUGCUACUUACCAUGGCUUUAAGCUUUACCAAAUGGACAUGAAAAGUGCCUUCCUCAAUGGAACAAUCAAGGAAGAGGUCUAUGUUGAGCAACCACCCAGCUUUGAAGAUAGUGAGUACCCUAACCAUGGUUAUAAACUCCCAAAGGCACUUUACAGGCUCAAGCAAGCCCCAAGAGCAUGGUAUGAAUGCCUACGAGAUUUUCUUAUCACUAAUGGCUUCAAAGUCGGCAAGGCCGAUCCUACUCUCUUUACUAAAAUUGUUGCAAAUGAUUUGUUUGUAUGCUAAAUUUAUGUUGAUGAUAUUAUAUUUGGGUCUACUAACAAAUCUACUUGUGAAGAGUUUAGUAGGAUUAUGGUUCAAAAAUUCAAGAUGUCUAUGAUGGGGGAGUUGAGAUAUUUCUUAGGAUUUCAAAUCAAGCAACUCUAGGAUGGCACCUUCAUCAGCCAAACCAAGUACAUACAAGACAUACUUAAGAAGUUUGGGAUGAAGGAUGGCAAGCCCAUCAAGACACCCAUGGGAACCAAUGGGCAUCUCGACCUCGACACGGGAGGUAAAUCCAUAGAUCAAAAAGUAUACCGGUCGAUGAUAGGAUCUUUACCCUAUUUAUGUGCAUCUCGACCGGAUAUUAUGCUUUCUGUAUGCAUGUGUGCAAGGUUCCAAGCUGAUCUUAAGGAAGUUCACCUUAGGGCCGUGAAAAGAAUCAUGAGAUAUUUAGUUUAUACUCCUAAGUUUGGCCUUUAGUACCCCAGGGGAUCCACCUUUGAUUUAAUAGGUUAUUCCAAUGCCGAUUGGGCAGGGUGUAAAAUUGAUAGGAAGAGCACAUCAAGGACCUGUCAGUUUCUAGGAAGAUCCCUAGUGUCUUGGGCUUCAAAGAAACAAAACUCAGUAGCUCAUUCUACCGCCGAAGACGAGUACAUUGCCACAGGUCAUUGCUGUGCGCAAUUACUUUGGAUGAGGCAAACCCUCAGGGACUAUGGCUACAAAUUGAGCAAAGUCCCUCUCCUAUGUGAUAAUGAGAGUGCAAUCCGCAUGGCAGAUAAUCUCGUUGAACACAGCCGCACUAAGCACAUAGACAUUCGGUAUCACUUUCUAAGGGAUCACCAACAAAGGGGGAUAUCGAAAUAGCUUAUGUAAACACCAAAGUUCAAUUAGCCGAUAUCUUCACCAAGCCACUAGAUGAGAAAACCUUUAGCAAACUUAGGAAUGAGCUAAAUAUACUUGAUUCUCAGAAUUUUGAUUGAAACAUUGCACACAUAGCUCAUUUAUAUACCUUUGAUCAUAUCUCUUUCAUUUGGCACAUAUACAUAUUUCUUAUUCUUCUUGGGCCAAGGUUAAGACUAAUGUGUUUCCAUAAGUAUCUCUUGUAUUAAGUCUUAGAUUGGAAGGGAAAUGGAGUAUUCGGCAAAAACAACGCUUCCACUCAACUCCAAUGGUAUUAUUUACCCUUUGCCGGUAUUCUGCCAUCUCUCCGAUGGGUAUAAUCUUUCACUCAUAUUUAUCAAUGGGGGAGAAAAUGUAAAGAGGGCUCCAAAGUUCUCCUUUUUGGCGAGUAAUGCCAAAGGGGGAGAAAAUAUUAAGCCCAAAGCAAAAGGACCGCACCACCACCAUUUCAAAAAUUUUCAAAAUGAAAGAUUUAUUUGGUAAUCAAAUGUUUGUUUUUCAAUUAGUAUUCAAAGCAAUUUCAAAUUGGUAUCUAUACUUAUGAAAAUAAGAUUUCAAAAUUGGUAUCUAUUCAAAACCCUCUUGAAAGCUAAGGGGAGAAUUUCUUUCAGGGGGUGCUUUUAAUUAGUCAAAGGAAAAGCAUUUGAUACAGGGGGAGAAAUUUCAAUCUUGAAAAUGCUUCUCACAAUCUUAUUCAUAUACCUUUGACUAUUUGCAAAUGAAUUUUAAAAAGACUUUGAAAAGAUUUGCAAAAACAAAACAAGUGGUGCAAGUGUGGUCCAAAAUGUUAAAUAAAAGAAAGCAAUCCAUUCACUCUUAUUCAUAUGUAAUAAGACUUUCAUAUUGGUUUAAAUUCCAAGUAACCUAUGCACUUACCAUAUGCAAACUAGUUCAUUUCUGCACUUUAUAUAUUUGCUUUGGUUUGUGUUGGCAUCGAUAACCAAAAAGGGGGAGAUUGAAAGGGAAAUAGGGUUAAGCUUUUCCACAAUUAAUUUUGGUGGUUGAAUGCCCAACACAAACAAAUGGACUAACUAGUUUGCUCUAGAAUACAUGUUCUACAGGUGCAUAAUGGUUCAACAAAAACCAAUAAAUAUUCAAGUUAGGGGUUCAAUUCAAAGAAGCAAAUAAAAUCGAGUAUGCUGUGGUCUGGCGCAUUGGGACUGUCCGGUGCACCAGGACCAUACAGGUCUGAACUAGCCGCUCUCGGGUUUCUUUAGGCGCACUCUGCUAUAAUUCACCUGACUGCCCGGUGUGCCACCGGACUGUCUGGUGUACCAGCGGAGCAACGGCUAUCCAGCGCAACAGUCGACUGCAAAAGCACAGUGAUCAGAGCUACAAUGAAGAACAGUGCGCGCAGAGUCAGAACCGUAGGUCAGAGGCGCACCGGAUAGUGCAUGUCCGGUGCGGCACCGGACUGUCCGGUGCCACUAGAGGACAAAGCCUCCAACGGUCAAUUGCUCCAGAACCCUAAUGGUUAGGUGACGUGGCUGGUGCACCGGACAGUGUCCGGUGGCGCACCGGACUGUCCGGUGCGCCCAUCGACAGUAGCCUGCCCCAACGGUUGUUUGGUGGUUGAGGGCUAUAAAUACCCCCAACCACCACCACUCCAAGCAUCCAAGUUUCCAGCACUUCACAUUCAAUACAAGAGCUAGUGCAUUCACUCCAAGACACAUUUUUAUAAGAUCAAAGCCUCUCCAAGUCUAGAAUUCAUUCCAACCACCUAGUGGCUUGAGAGAGAGUGUGUUCGUGUUUCUUUGCGCUCUUGUUGCUUGGAUCGCUUUCUUCCUUCCUCAUUCUUGUUCCCAAGUGUUUUGUAAGCAAGGCAAGAGACACCAAUAGUGUGGUGGUCCUUGCAGGGUCUAAGUAACCCAUGAGAAUUAAGGAGAAAGCUCACUCGAUCUAAGUGACCGUUUGAGAGAGGGAAAGGGUGGAAAGAGAUCCGGUCUUUGUGACCACCUCAACGGGGACUAGGUUCUUUAGAACCGAACCUCGGUAAAACAAAUCACCGUGUUCACUCGCUUUAUUUCUUGGUUGAUGUGUUUUCCCUCUCUCCCGGACUCAGAUUUAAUUCUAACACUAACCCCGGUUUGUAGUUUGUGUUUUAAGUUUUUUCUUGUUAUAAGCUUCGUCAUCUGAAAGGAAAAUACCCUUAAGGUAAGAGAUGAUUUCAGUUCUCCAGUCUUCACUAUAAACAGGAGAUAUGUUGAGGAUCGCUCUUUCAAGAAGUUCAACCGAAGGUGCUUUUAUUGUUUCAAAAAAUACUUCUGAAGGUAAGGGCAGCCCCUGUGCUGCUGACUUGGCUAGCAAAUCAGCAUGCUCAUUUUCUCCUCGAGGAAUAUUUUUUACAGAAAACCCUUCAAAGGAAGCUUCAAUCCUUCGGACAGUAUCUAGAUACUUCUGUAUCACCCCGGGGUCCACCAACACCCCGGAAUGCUACUAAACAACACUUCUGACAUCUAUAUAUAAAAUUUCGGCAGCAUCCCCCUUGCAAAAUUGCAUAAAUGAGGGGGCAACAGUGUAUAAACAUAUAUCAUGACAAAAACAUACUGAGUAUUAUUAAUCGGCUAGCAAAGAGAAGUUAAACAUACGACAUGAAGUGAAUUAACUAGUGCGCACGACUAGUUAAAAAAACAAACUUCCUUUGACAAUAAGUUUCUAAUUAAAUCAUGGCUGCGCCUGGGCAGCGUUAUUGUGAGAGUGAAACUGGACGUGCUGCUACUCCCCUCAUUCCCAACAUGUAUCAAGUACCUGCAUUGAGUAAUGCAAGAGUGAGAUGACACAUCUCAGCAAGUAAAAUAAUAUCAAACUAUUUAACCACCUAAGAACAUUGUUUUACCACCACUUGAUUCCACAACCUUCUUAUUACGAAGGUGCAGCACGUAUACAACGUACAACACACCUAGUCACCACACCUCGCAGGUAGAAACCACAAUAGUAACAUAGUAAUGUCACACUUCAUAUAUACCUCAUGAGUGCAAAUGUCUGCAAAUGCAAGGAUGACUUCUGCCUUCAUACCUCUAAGGAUAUGAAGCCGCAUCGUACCCCUCCUCGGGCAACGUACGAUGCUAAAAAUGUACCGGUACGGUCGGACCAUAAGAUGACGACAUAACUUCAAAAUGCAAGAUGGAUGAUGCGAUGAGCAUGUCAUGCCUACAAAACUUCAUAUAACGUGAUUCAAAAAAAAUACUUCAACUUCAUCGAAGAUGGGAAUCAACCACAUAUAUCAUUACCAAAUUAUGAUCAUCCACAAUAUUAGACAAUUGAGAAUUAAUACUUCCAAACAAAUAAACUUCAUCAUAGAAUUCAAUGAUUAACAUAAUUAAAACUUAUGCAUACUCAAUGUCAGGGAAUAGGAUGCAACCCAAACGGUAGCAACCACCACUGUAUUUACUUGCCUUUACCGGAAGUUCGGGCAAAUCCCUAAGUACGAUCCGGAAGUCCACCACCUGUUUUUGACACACAACUUAGUGCACCAAUUUCACAUAAUCAGGCUCAUAAACGACGCCGCACCUACGCACAAACUCAAACCCCGCCGCGGGUUACAUCUCUCCCCACACCCACCAAACUGCAGCGGCGCUGCUUAAUAAUUUCAUAACUUUAAAAUUAUGACAGCAGUGGUAACAAACAAAAACUCCAGAGGCAUCUACAUGAAAUUCCCCACAAGUUUUGUAUACAAUUUAUAAUUAAAUUCCAACAUCUAAUUAGCCCAAAACAGUCCACAAGAUGAACCCUCUAAUCUGUUUUUUUGUCUUUUGGACAGCGACAUACCCGGAUUCAAACAACGAUAUCUUUUAAAAUAUAAUUCCAAAUCAAGCACAUAAGUACUUAUUGGAAAGAUAAGACAAAGCCCUACAUGAUUAUUAUACUGGUUAACACUAAUUACCCACGAAAAAUUCACAGAAACUGCUAAUACUACUGCUGUUCACCCACCUGAAAAAUCUGUUUUUUUGGACAGCAACAUAACCGGAUUCAAACAACGAUAUCUCCUAAAUUAUAACUCCAAAUCGAGCGCAUAAGUACUCGUUGGAAAGGUAUGACAAAGCUCUACAUGAUUCUCCCACUGAUCCCUACUAAUUGCCCACGAAAAAUUCCCAGAAAUCACUAGAACUACUGCUGUUCGUCCACCCACUAAAAUUCUGGACAGCACAUCUACCAAAUCGCAUAGGUAAACAUGUAACCAAUUAGAUUGCAGCACAAAUACAACAAAAUGAUCACGAAAAUCACCUUGGGUUCCUCCUUUCCUCCUUCUUUUCUUCCUUCUUCCUCCCUCCAAACUCCCAUGGAAGACUCGCACCCACACGACGGACACCAAGCGGGGAGGCUCCACCUUGGAGAGGAAGAGGUGGGGGGGCUAGGGUUGAGGGGUGGCGCUGCAAUCACUUGGGGAAGAAGGAGAGGGAUUGGGGCGGCUGCAAGAGUGGAAGAGAGAGGGGAGGGGCGGCCAAAGGGGUGGGGGAGUGAG
rnacentral:lncRNA from 1 species